UAAAAGGUAGGUUUCUAUUAGCACAAUAAAAUGUAGGUUUUUAUUAUACAAUAACAACAAGCCAUAAUGUCCCAACUAUUUGGGAUCAGCUACGUGGGUCUCUUUGUCACUAUCAGUUUUUGUUAUAACCCCUAGAAAUCUAUAGUGGUAAUUCACAAAAGUUACCUGAAGAUAUAUGCUUGUGCCAAACUGGCUUUUUAAAGCAUACUCAUUGAAGACCGAAGCCAGAGAAGGAACAGUAACCUGAAAUUUUGUUUCAAGGUAAGAAUUUAUGACCACAAACUUGAACAAAACUAAGGGAAAUAUUAGAUGAUGGUCAUUGUAGAUCAAUUGAAAAGAUUUAGUAGAAUUAGUUGUUAGUUAGAAAGUAAUAUAUUUUGGUAUCAUUAAGAUAUUAUGUGAAAUUGCUGGAAAAAGGGAGAAGGUGCUCAAAACAACUAUACCAAACAUAAAAUAGUAAAAGAAUCAAUCUUGUUUUUCAUCUAUAAAACAAGUCAAAAGAUAAGUUCGUGGAUCUAGAGAAAACAAUAUGUCAAAUAAUGAAAUUGAGGCUCUUAAACAAGAAAUUUGAUUGGAGAGGUAAGCUAGAAAAUUGUCAUUAUAUAAAUUUAAGAUGUGGCAUUUUUGAGAAUGUCAUAGCAUAGUAUACUAAAUGAAAUCUAAUUGUAAGCCAGUAAAAUAAAACAAUCGGGUAAGUUUCAAGUCAUCCUUAUAUUAAUGUCCGGUUCAACAGUUAAGCACAACUCAAUCAUUUAUAGAAACUUCAAUUUGCAAACAGUAAUUUCUAGUUUCUCAAAGAGCUUUCUUUCCCCCUAGUUGAUAACACUUACAAACAUCAGUGUAUACAAGUAUGCACCCAUUGCAACAGGAAGACCAAGUGCAUUGGUAUCCUCAGGCAGUGACUUUAACUGAUUAACACUGAUUCCAAUUAGCAAAAGUGCAAGAGCCUCCCACUGUCAAAUAAUAAAGCAUGAAAUUAUUAGAAAAGUAUUGGCAUUCUUCAUCUAUUCUUAUAGCUCAACUUAUAUCAAUUUUGAAUAUAUAUUACUGCUAAAGAGGAAUAUGGCAUGUUCAGGAAUAACCUAAGAAUUUCAUGUACAACAUUGUCUUCCAUACCUUCAUUAUAUAAACUAGUUUACAUUAUAUAAACUAUUUAAGUGAUAAAUCAAUGAAGCUUUAACUUGCCUGGAUUAUGGAAAAGCGCCUUCUCAUAAUGAUCUUUAGAAGGACAGCAAUUACCAAAACCUGCAGGAGAUUAGAGCACCAGCAAAACAAAUUCAGGACCAGAAAAUUCUAUGAAUGCAACAUGCUUGAUAUAGGAAUGUUCAAAAUAUAACACAUAAAAUGACAAAAAUGAUAAAAUACAUAAUAUGAGACACACAAGACAAAUAAAUGAACUAACACAAAUACCAAGCACCGGAUGAUUUUUCUCUAUGAAUGUAAUGUGCUUGGUUCAUAUAUGGAACCUAUGUUCCAUAUUAGCCUGGGCUGUCCAUUCUGUGACGAAGAAGUUCUACUUGCCUAUAAGUUGCUUAUGGUGUUUGGGUCCUCUUCACAUGCAAAAUCAUGUGCAAAGUCCUAGUUGUUAUAACCAUAUCCACAGAUGCCUAUCAAUGAUAGCUACAGAAUUCCCAAAUAGGCUCAAAUAAAUUGAGGUCUAGCAUGGUGAAUGAUAUGACAAAUACAAGCAGAAACAGUCAUUUGAUGGUUAAAGACACUUUCUUAGUACUUCAGCAAUUUAAUUAUAGAACAACUAGUUGCCAUAGUAAAAGAUCAAUUAUAACAAUGUACAGUUUCAGACAAAAUAGCAAUAAAAAUGCUGAACUCUUCAUUUUUUGGGAGGAAGAGUAGGAGCCAGUUACUCCAAUUUAUUAAAUAAGAAUUGGAAUACAAGAAAAAUAGUGCUACUAAGUGAAGAUUUUGUCAGAUGUACCCUAAAUAAAGACACACCUAAGCCAUGAACAAUAGAGUGGCAUAAUAAAUGUAUCAAAAGUUCCCCUUUUAAAGCUAACUCCUAGGGAGCACAACUUAGCAGUGCACUCAUUUCAUCAAAAUUAUCAACAGGAUCACUGUUCAAUGCCCUGACAGCUUAUUGAUCAACAUAGGACUAGAAGUUGAUUUAAUAUAUUUAACCUUAUUAUUAAUCAAGUUUUGUCAGUCACAUUCAACACUGAACCGGACCAAUUUAUUAGUGAGGCAAAUUAUGUCAACUGCUUAUGACCCAAACACACAAACAAAAACCAAAACUACAAAUUUAUGUUGUGUUAGGGUCAGCUGUGUCAUAUAUUAACACCUUUAUGAAACCACUAGAAAGAUUUUUGGUUUAAAAUUAACUCUGAAUGAUUCAAACAAAAAUUCAAAUAAAAAGAAAAGAAAGAAAAACAACUAAACAAAAGCUUAUAGAUGUGAAGAGUUUGUAUGAGAAUGCACAUUCCAAUAAAAAAACCAGAAAUUUAGCUUUUUGCAAUAGAAGUUAGUCUAUGAAAACUUAUUAAGCAAACAGCUACUAACAUUUUUGCCAGAUAACCAACCUAAAGCACUUAGUACAAAAACAUUUGUCAAUCAAGUUAACACACAGGUACUAAUAGUUUCAGAAACGUAUUACCUUCAGGUUGCUCAACAUUUUAACAGUUGCAGGGUUAAAAUACAACUGCAUAAGGCAUAGAACAAAUAAUCAGCUUAGUCAAGAAAAUAUAAAUCUCCAAUGCAGCUAUAUAGGCUGGGUGAAAAAUAUUACCUUUAAUAUUUCCUGAAGAUAAUGGAUAAACAAGAAAAUGGAAGUAACAAUGCUUGAUCUGAUAAAAAAAAGACUAUACCUGCAUUAUAAAUUUCAGAUAGUUGUUGAUUGCAUAAAGAAGAGCAGGAAUAGAAAGAAGAACAUUAUUGCGAAAUGCCUGCAAAGAUAACAAAACAGUUGAAAGAAGAUGCUAAUGCUUGUUCACUAAAACAAAGUUUAAAACUAAUUGCAUUAUAACUUUUGAAACUGGAAGGAUCUUGAAGAGAAAUUAUGGAUAAAGUGAUAAACCACUACCAUGGAAAAUCCAAUUCUCUGGUAUAGUAGCAAAACCUUGUAAGAAUAGCUUCAGUUAGCUAUAUAUAUCACUUUCACAAGGCAUGCAUCUUUCCAUGUCACACCAAAUUCUAGACAAACAACUGCUAUCAUGAAACCUUUUAGAUGUAAUGAAAACAUCAAUAAGCAAUUAGUACCUAGCAAACUAAUUCAAGCAUAGUAACAAAAUGUAUGACAUUCCAAGAAUUUUGGUUUUUAUUUAAAAAUUCAAAGUAUUAACAUUAGAAUAUUCAUUUUGUAUGAUGAUCAACACAUAUACGAAAAAAGAUUUUAAAAGCAGCAUGCACAAACUAUCACAAAAAGCAGUCAAGCACAAAGAACAGAUCAACAGCUCCCUUCUAACUGAAAGAUUAUGUCACUGAAUAGGAAUGUGCUUCCAAAUCUAGACGAGAUCAGAAACAUCCAGAUCCAUAAGCUUGUUUCAUAUUAAGAAUCUAGAAUCAUAAAGAAAUCUCAUCGUCCACACUUUCUCAAAUUUUGCAACUUUUUUUGAUAAAAUAUGCAAUAGCAAGAAGAUAUUAAUUUUAGUUUCAACCAGAAACAUUCAGAUCCAUAAGCUUGUUUCAUACUAAGAAUCUAGAAUCAUAACGAAAUCUCAUCAUCCACACUUUCUCAAUAAUUCCACAACAAUGACAAGAACAAAAAUAACAAAGCCAUAGUGUUCCAACUACUUGGGGUGGCCACAUGGAUCUCUUCCUGCCUUUGGGUCAUUCAAACAAUUCUAACAAUGAUACAUUUGGAUAAAAAAGCAAAGAGUACUUAAGAUGAGAUGGACAUAACUUAUUGAUCCAAUUGGAGAUCUGGUUGCAAAAAAAAGGUUGCAAACACAUUAGGUCAAGCCAAACCCUUAAUAAAGAAAAAAAGUGAUAAAGAAAAUAGAAAUUGUGUUAUGAAAGUCAAUAGUAUUGCAUAAGAGUUUUACCUGCACGAAUGUGGAUAUCGAGAGUAGGGGUUUGUCUCCUUUAUUUUGUUUUUUAGCCUGCCAAUUAAUAAGUAAGGGGCAUGACAUGGCAUCUUAUAUGCUAGUAAAAGAUUAACAAAAUAAUACUAGAGCCAAGAACAUGCUCAAUUGUACCAAAGACAGCAAAAUAAAUGAAAAAAAGCGAAAACAAAAACAAUAUGGAUAUAUCAUAGAUUUGAUUCACUAAGUGAGAGAAAAAAAAUGGAAAGCUAUACACCACAGAAGUUGGAUCAUAUGCAACUAGAUACCUGAAAUAGCCAAUAUAUAUAGUUCUGUAAAAGUAAAUAAAAAUUGCAAGGUAGUCCAUGAAAGGCAUUAGCUAUUUUACAAAUUUCAGAAGUCAUGCAACUAUAUGAUUUGUUAUUUCCUAACAUUCAUAUCCUUUUCAAGGGGAACUAUUAGAAUCAUGCUCUCUAAUUGCAUGAAUCUAAGUUCACUAGCCCACUCAAACUAGAAAAAAGAAACCCAAUGUAUAGAUUUGCAGUUUGUCAUCAGAUUCCCAAUUACAUAUGUGUUUGAUAACCAGGCAAGGCAUGGUUUCUCUUAGUGCACCUGUGCUAUUUAAUAAUUAUAAUUACAGUCGAUAACCAAACAAGCUGUUAUUAUACCAUAACAGUAACCAUACAAUAACAGAUGGCAAGUCUGUAACAAAUGGUUGGGAAUACUUCAUCGUCAAUGAAAGCUUCAAGGGCAAAAGACAUCCAUUUAAAAAACGUUGCAAAUAAUUAUUAUAAUAUUAUGUUAUUAUAAAAAGUAAUGUAUAAGAAUUGGUGGACAAACAAGAGGUUUAGGUAAUGCACCAUGAGUAACAAUCAUCUACCAUCACAUAAGUUGCAUGGAAGGAUAUAACAAAAAACUAUGAAAUAAACUACUAAUGUCCUGCUUUCCUAAAAUUAUUUCAUAGUUCAUAACACAGUGACUUUUGCACUUUAUGUCAUAGAAAAGUUAGAUAAUAAAAUAGCAAAAAUACAAACUCAAGCGAAAAAAUUUAGUGAUAAUAUUACCAUACCUGGGAUAACAGCAUGAUGAUGGCAAAGAGAACCUUUGCAGCCUCAGUCAAAAAAUUAACACUGAUAGGACUAAACUUAAAGCUCCCAUCCACCUUAGACAUGUAGACUAGAAUAGGCUGCAACGAAUAGAAAAGCAUGUAACAUAGCAUUAAUUUGUAAUUCUAACAUUUUCCCUUUAACAUCCUUGAGUUCACAUAAAGCUUGUACUUCUGAUUUUUCUUUCCUUAAUAUCCUUGAGUUUAAUUAAUAUACGUGUUUAGAAAUGUACCACUAGCUGAUUCUUAUUAGAAAAAUGUGGAAAAAUAAAUUAAAAGAAAAGUUCUGCUGCCAUAUGUCUAGCAUGAUUAAUUAGCUGUUAUAUUUCAAGGUGAAGAGCACUGUUUUCUCCUUAGUAAAUGUCAAAACUUCCAGUAAUCAGCACAAUUAGAAUUUUAAAACUGCUGCAAUUUUCUUUGGUCUCUUCUUCUUUUAAUUAUCUAAUUCAUGUUGCCCUUCCAUGCACACAUUUCUUAGAGAAGAAUGUUACAACCCAUGAAGGAGGAUAGGGGUUUCAGAAAGAGGAUUAAGAUUGCAGGAUGCAAGCAUUAUGCAUGUUGUCUAGACCCAAACAGAAAAGUCUCAUGUAAUCAAUUAUGCAUGUGAAUAAACUACACUUUUGCGUGCUGCUUGCAAUCUUUCAAAAAAGGAUCCAGAGCCUAUAAGGCGUGCCUCCUUAUUUUAGCAUAUUAGUUCUUUCUUUUGAUGUCUUGAUACAAACCUCAGAAUGAGACUUAUUUGAUAGAUCAGAUUAGAGUUAUCUGUCAAAGUUAGUAAGAUUUCUGAGUAACAAGAAGGGGAAAGAAACCAGAUAGCUUCUAUUGUCCUUUUUCUUGGUUAUGUUAUCAAAAUAUUCCCACCCAACCCUUUUUCGCCAUGCCAUUUUUUUGCUACUGCUCUUCUGCUAGUUUUCUUUGCUAUGGUCCUCUUCUGCUGCUAGUGUUAAUUGGGCUCCUGAGCCCACAUAAACAUGGAUAAGUACUCUUUGAUCAUAGAUUUUAAACAGUAGCAAAAGUGACUACAUCAGAAAUGCACAGUGAGACUUUUUUAAAAUCAAAAGCCAUGAGGUUGUGGACCUCAUCUUCAACAAGCUUCUGCGAGUCAACCUUGGAACAGUUGAGAUAACGAUAGUAAGAAAAUUCAGUUUGAAAUAUAGGCAGCUAUGACUAGAACUAACAUAUUGAUCAUAGAAUUACCUGAAGGCCAACCAAGAUACAAUCGCCAGCAACCAGAAGAACUUUGAGAGCACGAUGUUUUGGUGGUGUUUUAUUCCUGUUUUUGUCAUAUGCCCUAGAUAUACCUUUACCACCUGGAGCUGGCAAUUUGGAAUGACAGUUACUGCAUUCUAUCAUACCGUCCUCCAGCAUUAUGAAACCUUGAACCUUAUCAAGCACAUUAAAUGCAGCUACAGGAUAGAUCUAUGAACUUAUUGUUGUACCUGAAAAUAUCAAAGAAAAACUUAGUUACAAUUAGUGAAGAAAAUUACUAAGUGCCUACCGUUCAAAAAGAAAUUCAUCCAAGAAGAACAUGAACCUAUCUGCAUUUGUCAUUUGCCAAGGAGAAUAGUUAUCACUGAUCUUUCUCCCAUGACCUAUUUUCAUACAGAGUAUCCAUGCCAAAAUAAACAUAGUAGAUGGUAGAGUUUGAAGAAAGAAUUUGAUAACCCAUAAACACAGAGCAAGAAUUGAUUACAGUACACCAAACAGAAUUAUCCAAAUUGCCAAACCAUUCCCUGCGAUCAUCACAAACCAAAGAACAAAAGACAAAACAAAAACUAACCAAAGUAGUAGAAGAAGAGAGAUGCGAACUAAGAUUAGUAAGCAAUCUACCACAAAUCAAUAGCUGGUCACUCACCAAAAUCCUUUGUCAAAUCAAAUUGGCAUUCCACAACAAACCGAAAUCACUAAGUCGCCCCAAAAAUCCACCUUCCUCCCCGCCUCAAUGCCAAAACCAAGCAACAACUCCACACAAAUGAGAGUUUCCUGGAGUGGUGAUCGCAAAAAGUAGCAAAGACGAGACCUUUCGAGAGAAGGCAAGGAGGAAGCAAGGAGAUCCGAAAGGAAUAUGCUACCAGGGAAUCGGAAUUGGUAUUAAUUCCUCUCUUCCUGUGUGCGGGGUCCCCAGCACACUACUGUCUAGUUGUUUAUGGUUUAGGGUUCAAGAUGUCAGCUACACCUGACCAUUCUUUCUAAAUACUUCCAAACCCAUGAACCCUGUUAACCUCCAAACUUCAUGUCGCCUCUUCCGCCCACACGUCUACCGCCGAAGCUUUGCAAUCCCAGUAGCAACUGGUAACACCCAGGACGCACUCCGAGGCUGCCGACCUGCAUCAUGAAUCAAACGGGGAGACGCUCCGGAGUCCAUGUCGGUUGAUGCUUCUGGGGUGUUCGACGAAUUGCCUGACAGGAGAGUCAACACGUGGAUUUGCAUGAUCUCCGGGUGAGCAAGAAAUGGCCAUUGACAAACCGAGAUCCCAUCUUCUGCUUGAACGAUUAACUAUGGCGUGCUUCGCGAAGACUUCCAGGCGUGCAACGCGAUCCAUGGCUACAUUAUCGAGACCAUGAUCUCUGCAAAUGUAAUAUGACUGAGAGUAGUGUUACCUGGAGCUCAUCGACGUCAUGCCUCGUCGACUUGUGCAAGCAAAAGAACUGUGAUGUCUCCAGUUUAGGGCUUAUCAAAUUAAUGAUUCACUUGUACCAAACUUAAUUAGUAUUAAAAAUAUAUUAUUAUUAAUUUAGUUUUAAGCAUGUUGGCUCAAUAGUUUAUACAUCUCAUCAUCCUCCUAAUAUAUUAAUUAUAUAUUAUCCUGUACCGCAUGUAGUUACUAUAGUUAUUAAAGUGAAAUAUCUAGUUUCAUUUAUUCUAAUGAUAUUAGUUUUACUGAUAAAAAUAUAAAAAUAAAUGAUAAAAAUAUAAUUUUAACGUUCUAUGACGAAUGUUAUUGAUGGUGGCGAAUAAUAACGUUGCUGAAGACCACGAGUGAUUGUUGUGGAUGAGGAGAGCGAUGGUAAAAGGUGAGGGUUAUUUUGCAUCUGCAUCGAUGUCAUGCAAUUGCCAAGUGGACCUUUCGCCGCUCCACAUUUGCAUCGACGGUCCUUUCACCGCUCUGCAUUUGCAUCGAUGGCCCUUUUAUCGCUCGGUAAUUGCGUCGAUACUGACACAGAUGCAAAGCAACAAAAGGGUCGCUCGUGUGAUUGUUGCAAAUGAAGGGAGCGGUGGCGAGAAGUGAGAGCUACUCGACAUCUACAUCGGUGGCCCUUUCGUCGCUCAGCACAUACGUUGAUGCUUAUGUAGAUGAAUAGCAAUGUCACUAGGCAUCUGCAUCAGUGCCAGCUCGACAACUAUAUCAGUGUUGACACAGAUGUAAAGUGACUCUCACAUCUCAUCACCACUCUCCUCAUCCAUAAUAGUCAUCCCGAGCGAUCCUUUCGUUCACUCUACAUCUGCAUCGACAUUGAUGCAGUUGUUGAGUGGCGAAAGAACCACCGAUGUAGAUAUCGAGUAGCGUCGCUCUACAUCUACAUCCACACCAAUGCAGUUAUCGAGCAACAUUGCUUGCAUUUGUGUCGGUACCGAUACAGAUAUCGAGCAGAUCUUUCGUCGCUUCUCAACUACAUUGACAAUGAUGUAAAUGCAAAGCGACGAAAAGGCUACUUAAUAACUGUGUCAACAUCGACACAGAUUGAGAGUAACCCUUACUUCUCACCAUCGCUCUUUUCAUUCGUUUUUGGCCCCCCGAUGUUAUCGUCUGCUACCACCAAUUGAAACAUUAAAAUUAUUUUUUUAUUCUUUGAUUUUAUGUUUUCGACGAUAAAAUCAGUGACGUUAGGAUAAAUAAAACUAGAUGUUUUAAUUUCAUAACUAUAGAAAUUUUAAUAAUAGGAUAACAUAUAAAUAACCCUCCAAAUUAAAAUUAAAAUAAAAAAUUAUUAUAUCAAAUAACAUAACUGACGCCCAACUCAAACAUAGUGAUUCAUUACCUAUGUCAGCAAAAAACAUAAUGAGCUAUCACAUGUGUGAACUCAAAUUCAUCACUCAUCACUCAUAUAAUAUUAUAUUAAUUAGAAAGAUCGGUUACCUACCUCAGCAAAGGAUAAUGAGCUAUCACAUUGUUUGAACCAGAAGAUGCUACAGUGUAUUGCGUAAUGAGCAUUCAUUUACCACAGCUUCAUUGUUCAUGAGAUUCUAUCAAACUGCUUCCCUGGUGUUCUGAUUCAUGUAUCACUACACGUGGAAUUUACGUCAUUCAAAUUUAUGACAAUACUACAUACGAGUCACAUCCAGGUGAUUACUCCAAAAAGAGAUAACAUGGGAAAGCUGUUCACACUUUUGUGUCAUCAAAAUACUUUAUGAAAUAAAUCCACCAUGCUUUGUGCAUCCAAUGCUGGUAAUUCUAAGAUUGUUGGAAAGAGAUGCUACAAAUUAUUUAUAUAUCUAGCAUGAAACACAAAUUGAUUACAAUACCCAGUGAGAGCUGCUUUCUUUCCAUAUUCUGAAUCUGUAACAUUGAAACAAGAAAAACACAACCUGAUGUGUAAAUAUUACACCAAUCUAUCCAUUGAUGUUGUAAGGACCACAUAUCAAUUGUGGAAUCAUGACCCCGCAGUCCAUACAACUGGCUAUACCAUAUAACAAGGUGAACCAAUGGCUGUUGAAAGAUAAAGAAUAUCAUCAGACCAAAUAGGUACCCCAUGCUAUUUCUUUUGUUCUCUCCUCUUCCUAAAAGGUACUUUUGUGAUUCAACUUUAGUACCAACCCUUUGAAAUGACUCUUGGUACAGGCAUAAAAUUGCUCCUUUGCGAUCUGAAUGAUCCAGAUUUGACCCAUGGGAAGAGUUUCUAUAUUGGUGGAUGCAUCAUGCCCUGGGUACAUCCUUUUACCAUUCUUGUGCACUAAAAUAUGAAUGAUUUUGUGUAUCAUAGCACAUCGCAUGUGAAGCACCAAGAAGAUGACUUUGUUGCAUCGCUACCUGAAGCUUUACUGCCCAAAUUCAAAAGCGGCGGUUUACUUUUGCUCACAUGAUUGUGUGCUUCAAUCAGAAUGUCUUGCAUUUUUCAUUAUUAAAAAUAAUUGCCACUGAACCUUCUUUUCAAUAGUUCAACCAGAGUAAUUCUUGCCAUACCUGCAUUCAAUAGUCAGCCAGACAUCCCGGUCCAAGGGAAUGUUCUGAAAGUGCAGAAAUGAUAGCAUAAAAAUCUCACUUAGCCCUCUUGGACCUAAGUCUCCUUGCAGCUACAACUUCUUUCUUGUGCCCUUUCAUCACAAGUCUCUUUUCAUGCUGCCAUACUCUGAACCUUUUUCGAUGUCUUAACCAACCUGAGUAAUCCUUACCAUGCGUGCCCUCAAUGAAGUCAACCAAAUCAGCCCAUUCUGAUGGAUCUUUCUGAUUUCCAGGUAAAGACUGAAUAAAAGUUUCACCAUUACAUGUAUUAGCUCCACUAAUGUAAGAAUUACACUUUGCAUCCUCAAUAGAAGUUAGACAUUUUGUGGACUGGUCUUCGUGCAUUUCUGUUGUGUGGUUUUUCCUAAUGUCAUCCGGCAAAAGCAAAAGUUAUUUUCAGUACAUGCUGGAGAACAGAAAUAACUUAAAAAUAUUAUCCAGAUGAAAAAGAAAAAAUAUAAACACCACAACAAAUGGCACAUAAACACAUUUAACAAUCAAUGCUAAUGAAAUCACUUGGCAGAAUAAUGUUGUUUUUAGUUUCCUGUCCUAAGAAUCCCACUCUCCAAAGGAUGAUAUAAGUGUUAGGAAUAUAGACCAGUUCCCUUAAUAUAUAUCAGUUCUCUUCCAAGGAAGCUUGUCUGGCAGUAGUUUUUCUUUUUCACUUAUUAAUAGGUUCUCCAUCUUUUAAUCUCCCACAAUAAUGGAUCUUUCACCCUAAAUCAGAAUCCCUUCACCAUUUCGAUGCCCCAUAACUGCUUCACCAAGGAAACUAAAAUAAUCAUUCUUCACCUUCUGUUUUUCAACUAAAAAUUUCAUCAAAGUAAUGUUUAUCCUCAGGUCAGCAUAUUAUUUUAAAUCUAAAGAAAUACGGGCCCUUACUAAUUAAUAUCUACAAAUGGGAUGUGGAACUUCUCCCAACCACAUUGACAUUGGUUCUGGGAUGCAAGAGUUCCAAAUUCACUUUUAGUUACUUUCAGUUUCUUAUGGUUUAUCUUCACUUCACUGGCACUUUUUUAAAUCUGUAACUUUGACCAAGUGUAUAUUUUCCCUUUUCUCAUGCAUACUAGAGCUGCCUAUCGUAACACUCGUUGCAGAAAAGCCUACAAGCUAUUUACAAAAUUUCUCCAGAAACCAACAUUUACAAAUCCAUUUGUGUUCAUACACUAAGAUUUUUAGGAUAGUAUAAUAAUUAAGAUAUUUCAUUUGCUUUGCAUCUUUGUCCUAUAAUUGUACAUAAGAAACACAAUAGCUUGGAACCUUUGUCAUUUUAAGUUAAACUUCCCCAUUAUACAAUUUUUUUGAUGUUACUAAACACAAUUUUCUUUGUAGUGUGAACUUAUAUACUGUUUAACCAAAAUAUAGGUCUUCACACUCACAAUUUCAACAUUUAAAUUUAUUUUGUCUGUGUUUCCUAUAGUAGGGACAGAUGUUGGAAAUCAAAUUAUCAAUACUCUUACAAAUACUAGAUAGGGAAAACCCUAAUGUGCAGGUGCAGGAUCAAACAUCAAAGUUCCAAGAAGAGAAUCAAGUCUCAAAUACCAAACAUACCAGUCCCCUCCCGGAAUGGUACAGUAUACCACCGAGCUAGGAAAAAUACUAAAAUAUUAGGUGGUAUCAGUACACCUCAAUAUUAGUGCAGUAUAUUGCAUUAUAUCAAAUAGGUAGACUGGGAUGAUAUGGAUGGUACAUUCGGUACACAAGGAUAUCUGAAUCCAUGGUUUCCAGAUUCCUUCCUCCUAAAGACAAACAAUCAGCUAUUGGCACAAUAUCAUAUGGUUCAUGUCAAGUUAGUCGCCUGAUAAAAUCCUAUGCAAGAAAUGAAAUUUUAGUUAGUCAAGACUUGAUUUGAUGCUAUUGAUGAACUAUCCAGAUUAAGAUGAAUGAGGCGGAAUUCACUGUGGAGGAACAACUCAAGUUUAUGGGUGCACAAUCGGUAAGAUAAAACUGCUUAAUUGUAAGUUUUUUUUUCUUUCUGAUAAGCUUGACAAAUCAUGCUUGUCAUGCAUCCUCCUAUAUUUUCAUUUUGCUUUACUUUUGAUAACAACUCUAUUGAAUUCGCUUAUCUUUGAUUCUUUUUUCCAUAGAGGUUUUUCUUUAAAAACUUUCCACACUGAUUCAUAUAGUGUAGGACAGUAUAAUAGACUUACAGACACCACAAACUUUUAACUAUUUUACAUAACUGGAUAGCUUAAGAUAAAUACAUAAUUUGACUUGUAACAUAUACUUGAUUCAUAGACUCAUAUCCACAUGAUUUAAACUAUAAAGAAAACUAGUUUUUUCCAUCCCAUUGCACGUGAUUCCUUCUCCACAAGCUUUAAUUUUAUGUUAGUGAAAGAUCUUGGGCUAUUUACUUUUAAAGGAAAAAGGAUAAUUAAAAUACAAAUCUAGAAAAAAAAUCACCAUUGAAAGACAGGAACGGACAGAAUGAGCAAGCGAUUGUUGGGAUCAACCCUAUUUUUCAUUACCUGUUUCUGGUGAUGCAUCUGGUGGAAGACGAAAUGGCGUAUUUAGCUGUUAAUACAAUAAAACAAACAGAAAGAAAAGGAAGAAAAACUUGCAAUAUGACGUUUAAUAAACUAGAAAAAUGUUAUGAAAAAGUUUCUAGUAACAUAUUGUGCUGGGUUGAGAAACAAAGGGAUGGCUAAUCGCUAUAUGGAUGUUAAUUUUUAUAACUACAUAGUUAAUACAUUUGUACUUCAAUAUCUUAGAAGAAAAAAAAACAUUACAAAGAAUUAAAAUAAGAAAGAGUCAUCAACUUCAGAAUUUCAAGUUAUCAAACAUCUUUCUCCUUGUUUUAAUUAUUAAGCUAAUGAAUUUUCUAAACCACAAGACCUUAGAAAUGGAUCAAGCAGAUGAAUGCGUAGAUAAAUAGAUCGAUCCAAAAGAGUAAUCCAACUAAUACUAUGACACCAGCAUUCUAUCUUGCUCUUGCACUUGGUGCCACAACCCAAGAUAUUUCAUAUUCCAGUAACUUUAAUGCAUCCCAAAAUCCUCAUCUUUGUGAUACUAUUUUAUAAGAUAUUCCUUUCAAAUAACAUCUAAUUAUAAUAUUGUAGCUCUUACAAUUGACUUCUAGCUAAGGUUUGCAAUACUGUCCAGUACAGUAGAUAUUUACCAUCCAACAAUCUACUGAUACGUGAAACAGGGUAAAUCAGAUGAUAUAUCUGGUCCAGGACCUUUGCCACCCAGUACACAUCUUAUACUCGAUACAGGGCAGUAUAAGCCUGUUACCAGGCAGUUUCUUUUGUUUUUGUCUUUUUAAGCUUCUUUUCAUUAUUUUUUCAAAACUCAAUAUGCACUAGCAUCCCAAUACUCGAUACACAGGUAUGGACUAGUAUUGAACCUGUUUAAGCCAUGUCUGAUACAUGAAAUUGUGAACCUUGCUUACAACAAAUUUUCUUCAAUCAAAGAGUCACUCAAUUAACAAUGCUUUAUGAGCUAUAUGUAUGAAAAUUGUAACUUUCUAAAUUGUACAAAAUAUGUUUUCAAGAAAACAUAUUAGCAGUAUAUUAAUUAUUGUGUCUGCAUCUUGUGUCUCAACUUAUGAAACAAUUUAUCACAAUAGUGAUUGAUCAACAAUGAACUUAUGCAAUCCAUGUCAUUAGUUCAUAAGUAAAAACAAUGAUUAGAUAGCAGGUUAACAGCUAGUAAUUUUAGAUAGAUGGCAGGUAAAAGACUAAAUAUUGUGCAAAAAAAAUAAAAAUAAAAAUAAAAAAUUUCACACAUCUGCAUGGCAUACCACUAAUCCUAAGAGGACACAUAGCAUCUUACCUCAAAUAGAGCAUUUGAAUAUGAUGCAAGUUUGAUGCUACUACUGAACUUCUACAAGUUGAUGCCUGUGUAAAACGAGCUUUCUCAUCUACAAAUCAAAACACAAAACUACCAAAGAAAAGAAAGAAAAAUAUGAAUCAACUAGUAUUAUACCUUUAUUUGCUUUUCUUCAGAACUUUGCUGAAUUGUUACUUUCGAUAUAACAACCAAUGGCAUCAAUACAUCCAAAUUACCCUCUUCAAAAAUAAGAAGAUUGAGAAUCACCAUCAUCAUAAUAAUGCAACUAUUCCACAAAAACCCAAGCCUUCUUCUGAAACUAUGAUAUAAUAAGCUUGCAAAAUGUGCCAACAUCAGAUUUGACUCAUGUUUUGCAGAAUUUGAUCCAAUAACAUCCAGCAGAAUUCUCUUAACAAGUUGAUUCAAUUCAUAUUUCCCAAAACAACUGAUAAUGCCCGCUAUAAAAUUAUAUUCCCUGCAAGCAACCUUAUUACCCAAUGCUUCAGAGCCACCUACACACCCUUUCUGUCUCAAGUUCCAUAUGAUUUGCAAGAGUGAUGAACUCAUUAACUUCAAUACAGCAGCAAAACAAUACAUCUCUUGCGAAAUUUUGCUUUCAUUUUCAUGUUUUGUGUCUUCCACAUUUUCUUCUGAAAGAAUAUUUAUCACUAUAUAUUGUAAAAUUAAACAAGCUUCAUCCCUGAAAAUGUCAUCUAAAAUAUGACUAUUCUCUUUGAUGAAUGCAAAAGAUUUAUUUGCAAUAUCUGCUUUUGUUUCAGAAAGAAAAUCCUGAGAGUUUAAGCAACAGAAUUCAAACAAAGAGUCCAUCUGAUGUUGAAGUUUAUAGUAGGUCAUGGGUUGGAUACAAGAAUCAAAAGAUAAUUUCUUGUCAUGAUAACAUGGCUGAACAUGCUCUCCAUUUAUAUUACUGACAAGUCCUAUUCUUGAAAUGUGACCUAUAUAAACAUUGACAGAAAGUUCAAAUGCUAAGAUGUGGGAAUUCAUCAGUUCCUCAUUCAACCCCCUAUCAACUUUAGGCCUCUGUAUGCUGAUGCAUUUGGAAGCCCACGAAAGCAGAUGUGCUUCAAGCAUACAUGGUAUGAAGAACAUGUUGCGGAAACCUAGCAAUGUCAACAUUGUGCUCAGGCAUAUUUCAGAUACAUCAUUCUCAACCUCAUUGGCCCAAGACAGUGAGUUAAUAAAUCUAUUGAAUGUCCACUCAUCAUUAGUUGAUAGAAGGAAAUGACUGGAAAUAAUCUCUUGAAUAGCAUAUAUAUCGCCGUAACUGCCAUGAGAUACAAAAAGCUUCUGUUCUGUGACGGAAACAUUAUCUGUCAUUGUAAAAUGUUUUCUCAUUUGGCAGUUCUUCAGAAAUUCAUCAAUAAACACCUGGGAGUGACUGACCAUAAGUAUUUCAAAUAUGCAAGAGUAUUAAAAUGCAAGCACAUAAACAUACUAGAAAACACACACAUCUAUCCAGAUCAAUAAAUUGGAAAAUAGUGUAUACCAGAAUGGAAUAAAACAUGUAAAAAUAUUGCAAUUCUUAGAGGAAUGAGCACCAUAACCCAAAUAAUAAGUCAGAAGAAAAUAAAUACGGUUAAUGCAUAUUUCACUAUUUUGCUAUUUCAUGAGAUGCGGCAUGCUUUUAAAUGUACAUUUCAAAGCACAAUUGAUCAUGUGGACCAAGUUACAUAGUGGCUGGCCGAAGCAUGAAAUCUAUAAACAAAGUUAGGAGAUGGAACCAGCACAUUAGUAAAAAAAUCAGAAUAUUCUCAGAUUUACCUAACAACAACAGAAUCUCAAAAUAAACAAAGGUCCAUCUAUCACUUGUCAACAUUAAUUUUGUGAUUUUUCCCAUUUGCAAAAAUUGGUUCUUGACAAUUAUAUAUUUGCUAGCAACAUUAUCAUCAUCCUGAAGUUUUAAGUUUUGAGAUAUCAAAUCAAUCUAAUAAGGUCUUGCAGCUCUUUAUCUCAAGGUCUAGGUCAUCAACACAAUUGUAUCUAUAAAGUUCAAGACUAAGGGAGGGAUCUUGAGCAUGAACUCCAUUCUGUGAAAGUUAACCCCCAAGUGAUAGAGAGUGAGUAUUGAUAUUAGACUCAGGUUUCUAAAGUUUAGCAAACUUCAAAUUAACUUUUGGCAUGCCAAACUAUUGUUAACGUCAUAAGGUCUCUGAGAAGUAAAAUCAAGUUUGACCUCUGAAUGCUUACAAAGGAUUAGAGUUCUACAGCAUCAUUGUCCACGGUCAUGUUUGUUGACAGAGCACGAAAUAUCUGUUACGAAUCUUCAUUAGCAUUCACGGAUCUGUCAUGUCGACUAGAUUACUACAAAGUAGGAACAAGUAAGUUCUCUUGUAUCUAAAUAUUAUCUUUUUUUCCCUUGUUGAGUGAACACUGUGGAUACUCUUAACAAAAGUUGACAACCAUAGGAAAAUAAUAAUUCCAAUUUUCAACAUUCAGGAUAAAAGUGACAUUUUAGAAGACAUCCCUUACAUGAAAAUGAUCGCAAAAACAAUUCAUAUGAAAGACUAGCAUACCAAAAAUUACCUCAAGUAUUCUUCGGAAAAAGGAAAGCAUUGGCCUUCUAGCUCCCUCAUUUGGCCCAUUUAUCCCAAUUAGAUCACUAGGGCACCGAUGAGAAGCCAAGCUUGUGACCCCACUAAUGAUAUUAUCUGCCUCAGGAUGGAGUUUGCAGCUACAUAAAGCAAAUGGUAAAUUUGGUACACACAACCUCCGGAGAAUUGACAAGAGAAUCUUGCAUUUCUCUACAACCAAGCUGAGGUCAAAUUCGAGAAAAUGCAGCAUGACCAUGCAACACCUCAACAGAAGUACGAGUCCCUCCUGAUAUGAAUCAGUGAACGUGGAAGGCACUGGGUGGCCUACGUCAGAGAACAACCGUUCGAACUUCUCCUCUAGCUCACGAAAGAACAAAUUGGACAGGUAAGUGAGGUCAGCGAACUCUCUUCCUGUUUCCAGCCACCGAUUAGAGACGAACUCGGAAGCGGCGGAAUCUCCAAACCUUCGACCAUCCCGUCGACACGGUGACUCAUAGGGAGAUAAACGCAACAAAAGCUCGUACAGAGGUCUCAGGAACAUUGGGAGCCAGAGUCUGGGUGAAUUGGACCACCCAGCAGCAAUCGUGAACGAAGGGAUAUACCAUCAAGAUCUUCUUUUGGUGCAAAAAAAAAAAAAAACGCAAAAACGACGAUGAGAUAACAAUCUCGUCAUUCUUGGAAGGAAUGACGCAGAUUGAUCCAAAAUUUUCUGAAUUUUCUGAAGCGCGAGACGACAAAUGGGAAAGCGGAGGUUUACCUGAAUCGCAGGCGGCCACGCGAGGAGCGAAACGAGACGGCCGAGAAACAGGAAGGCGAAGCGAAAAGCUUCGUCGUCGUCUUCUUCUUCUUCUUGAAAACCCUAAGCGGGGAUGGAGCGGGAGGAAGAGCGAGCGCGUACGAUGCCGGCCCCAAAUCUGGUAACUCGCGGUCUAGAUUAGGAACAAUAAAUCGAUAUCCUUUUACUUACGGGGGAACCCCAAAUGGUAUAUGUAUACUUGGUGAUCCUUUAGGUAAUUAUCCGUUCAAUUGCUCUCUUAAUUAGGAAUAUAUAUUCUUGCGAUUAAUUUAAUAUAUAUAUAUAUAUAUAUUCUCAUGUUAAUACAUACUAUCAAUCUUUAGAUUGGGUGAAAAUAAAUUAACAGUGCUUUAAUAAGAAAAUAUUAUCAUAUUAUGUUGAUGUGGCAUAAGAAAAUAUUAUCAAAUUCAAAUAUUUUUUGAUCUUAGACGAAAGUAUCAUAGAUAUGAACGAAAGUUUUUAGUCAUGUUCGAUACUCGAGAUAUAUUGCCCCAAUCAUCGGUAGUAUGAAAAUUUCAAAUCUAAUUUUUGCUAAUGAGUAAUCCAAACACUCCUAGCCUAUGAACAUAAAUAGGAAAAAUAAGGUUUCGUUCAUCCUCCUCCUAUUCACCACAAGUGUAGCAGCUCUGUAUAAGUACAUCAUAUGGACCCCCGGACAAACACAAUAUCUGCAUGCUUAUAAUGGCUGCCCCUUGCAGUCAGGCUUCCAUACAAUUGCCACUAACAAUGGAGUGACAAUUUUUAUGCAAAUGAGAAAUGAUGUAGACGAAUUUUUAUCCAGAAUCAAUCAAGUCAUGGUUGUGGACAAUUAUGGAUCAAAAACACCCAACUAUUUAGAAUGCUAGCAUCACUAAGAUUGCAAAACUAGUGUUUAUUGCUCAUCCAAAUAGUUGGAUGAGGAAUAAACACUAGUGAAUGGAGCAUUAGAUGAGCAAUAAAUGUCCAACAAACUAGAGUGUUUAUGAUAUAUAUGUACCAGAGCCAUAUACCAGGUGCAGAAAGAUACAGGAAAUUUUGGUUCCAAUCCUUUCUUUAAUUUAAAAAAGCAAAAAAAACACAGAAAUUCAGACUCCAUGAACGAUAUCUAGGCUACCAACUUAAAUGUGAAACCCAGGUUUGGGCUCUUAAGUGGCACAAAAAGGAAACAAAGAAGAGGAACAUUGUCUCAUCAAAAUUUUACAAAGUACUUUCAUGCAAAUCUAAUGAGAUCGUAAUGAGGUCUUCAACAUCAUAAAACAUUUUUGCCAGUUUUGCCGUCCUAAUCAGGCAUCGUCCAUCACUCACAGAACAUGAGAAAAUCAAUGGCUGUCUGUCAGCAAGAUCGAAACGAAAUAUCACCACAUGAACACAGUCGAUACAUCCCAGACCCUACAGUCCAUGGCUGACAUCCAAGUUAUGCUGGGGAAAACAUUUUAGUACCUAUCAUGACGCCUGCAACAAGACAUUAAAAAUGUCAAAUUGAGCUAGUCAUAAUUUUAAAUAAAUGAAAGCAAUAAAUCUAAUAAAAGCAAGGCAAUGCUUGCACAGGAAAACUAAUGUGAACUGAAAAAAGCUGCUUGGAAUAUAAAAAUACGUUUUACAUAUUAUGUCGAUUCCUCCUUUUUUCCGUUGUUAGCUACAAACUAAUUUUGAAAUACCAUGACAAAUAGCUUGUCAAAAUUCUCAUAGUCAGCCGGUGUUUGUUCUUGACUCACGAUAUCUGAUAUCAUAUAUGUUCCAAUGACAAAACUGUAUGGAAAGAACAUACAAUAUUCCACUCAUGAUACUGAAAAACACACUAACAUAGCAUAUGACUUAUCAAAAUUGCUUUGCUAUAAUCUCCCAUCGUUUGAUCUUGACUCAAGGGACAUUAGCUACAAUUUCAUUGACAAUAUUUUAAGGAGAAGCACACAUAAUAUUCCAUUCAUGAUAUUGAAAAAUAAAUUAUUAGAAAACAGGAAAACAAAAACAUCGCAGCUGACGACCACAGAAUGAUAUUGACCAUCAAGACUACUACUAGGCAAUGCAAUGUGGAGAAAAAAUGGAAUCCCACAUUCACCAAAAUAUUGACUUAACCUUGCACAAAAAAGAAGAAAAAAAUAAAAUGAGUUCUCGAGAGAUAUUGCAGGAUGAGGAUUACAGAAAUCAUAAUAUUGGCCAUCAAGAGUCUACUACUAGGCAAUGCAAAGCGGAGGGAAAAAAACCCACCUUCACCAUAAUAUUAACCGCACAAAAAACGCAAAAAAAUUAAAAUGUGCUCGAAAGACCAAGUGAAGGUUUGAUAAAGAGUAAUUUAUGAUGAGAACACCAAAGAUAUGACAACAACUAAGUGAAUGAUAAAUCCCAUAUUUAUUUGCUCUUGGCCACUAUUAAUAUGAAAAAGAUUAGCAUCACUUUCUGCAAAUUUAAAGUUAAACCAUGUCUUAAGAAAUAUUUUCAAACACUCACAAGUUUAUACAGUGUUUAGCUUAGACAACCAACUCAUGACAAAUAUGGUUAAAAAAAGCAAAAACAAAUUCUAAUGUGUAGUUUUUGGAUUGCACUAGCUACUGAAUGAACAAACAGAAUAAAAAUAUUAAAAUAUAUAUACAGCAAUACCUAUGCCGGUCAUAAUCUCUGCCACGAUCCCUUGAUCGAGAACGUGACCUUCUUCGACUCCUCGAAUCAUAGUUGCGAGAUCGAUCAGUAUCUCUGUCUCGGUCUCUAUGAUCUCUAUCAUAAUGCCGAUCAUGAUCCCUAUUUCUUCGAUCGUGUUCUCUGCCUCUAUCUCGAUUAUCACCUCGAACCUCUCUAUCUAUGUCUCGAUCCCUGCUUCCUGCCCUGUCAUGAUCCCUACUCCGUUCUUUCGACCUAAGGCAUUAAUUUAAAAAUAUCGUUGUAGAUUAAUGGCAUUACAUAGGGUUGUCCAAAGCAUGGCAAACAAAGUAAAUACCUUCUAUCAUCUUCAGAACGGUCAAUCUUCCGCUUUUUGUUUCUCUCUUCCUGGGAAAAUAGUUGUGAAGACAUUGAUAUUGAAAAACAAACAAGUGGAUUAUAUCUAGUCAAUCGCAACCAGAAUAUGAUGUUCAAUAUGUCAUGAAGUCAAAAAGCAAGGAAAAUAAAGAAAUUGAAGAUGGACAUUGAAAGAAAAAUUUGCCUUUGUCAGUUGAAAAUGUUUCAAUUAUCAAUAUCACUGAAGGUAUCGAUAAAGUGCACAAACAAUUGGACAACUUUCACUGGCUCCCAGUGAUAUGUCAUAGAGGUUUUAUCAGAUACUUUUCACAAAGAGAAUGAACAAAUGAAACUAACAUUGUUCUUUGUCUGGAUGAACACAUCAAUGCCUACUCGAGAAAGUACUUGUAGCGAGACUCACGGUCAAUGAACUAUAUAGAAGCCUUUUUACAACAACUGUCAGCUGCAAAACGUAAGCUAAUGGCCAAUUCAGUUGUCUGUUUAUCAAUUGAAAUCAAAAUGGUAACUCAAACUGAAGCUUUCAAAAAGAGAUUUCCAAUUUUCUGCUAAAAAAUUGAUCUUAUGAUCUAGAAACCAACAAUUUGGGCCAGGACAGAGCAUUAAUUUGGGCCAGAACAGAUACCAAUGUCCUCAUUUCAAAUUGUAUAUUUUGAAAAGUUCGCUUCCAUGCCAAAUAAUUCAUUCAGAAACACUUAAAUCAGAUAAAUAGUUAUUGUUAAGAUGGCCCACAAGUUACCUAACAGGUGUUAUGAGGUCUCUUUCGUUUUUAGCAUCAUAUCCCAAAUUACAACUAAAAACCAGGCCCAUAAAAAAAAAAACAAAUUCUUCAAGAUAAAAAAGAAAAGAAUCUUCAGCUACCAAUUUUAAUAUGAUUUACAUACUGUUCAUCUGCUUACAGUUUCUUUCACUUAUGUGAUUGCAGUUGUCCAGACAGGGAAUAGGAAUGAUUCUCAGAGCCCAUAUAUGGCCACCUUUGAUAAUUCCAAAGAUCCUCCCACAUCACAGUGUGCUAGCCAAAAAGAAGUGAUGACAGAAAAACAUAACCACAUGUUGAAUUUUCAUUGAGAUAAGAAAACUCACUGAUGUCAAAUUUAAGUGUAACUCUUUAUUGCAGAAUGUCAGACAUUAAACCAGCACCUGACGAACAUGUUCAGAGAUCGAACUUCAAAGACAUUUAGUAACAAGACAAACCAAAUCAACACAGAAUGUAAACCAAAAUAAUAAGUGCAUCCUGUUCAGGAUUUUAUGUACAGUACAGCAGCAUCAUCUAUCCCAAAGAAAGUGAAUAGUUCCAAAUCUAAGAAUGCAUCAAAAAAUUCUAGGAUAUUAAAUUGUACAUAAAGAAAUGACGUGUAAAGGUUACCUGGAGUUCUGCUAGUUUCUCACGGAUUUGCAUAUAGCCCAGAUGAAGUUUCCCUCCAAAAUGAUCAGCCAAGCGACGGUCACUGUACACCACACCAAUGAGCAGCUGAUUCAUUAGGACAAAUACAAAAUACGUAUAGCUCUUACCAAUUUGUUAUAGCCUUUUAAGUUCUAAAAAUAUAGCAAAAUAUAAAAUGCAAUAUUCUCUAUUAACAACAAAAAAGGUAAUUCUCAUAAAACUAUGCAUAAGGCCAGAAUGUAGCAAGGAUGUUAUGCAUUUAUUAUAAGUACUUCAAAAUCAGGGUUCAGAUUCUCAGAAUCAUAAUUAUAACUUUUAUACAAUAAAAUGAGAAAAUUACUUGUCAUAGACACUCAAGAAUGCUCCACAAAUAUCGCAUACCCGCAACUUCUGAUCAGUCUGCGAAAGAAACCCAGAUUGUGUUAUCAUUCUUAUAUUAGAUUCUAUAGCAACCCUCUGAACGAAAGAGACAUAAAAAAGCCAAUGACACAAGACAAGUCAAAAAUACAUAUACAAUUACAUAUCGAGGCAGUGAUAAAUGGAGCUGUCCAAAAUGGAAGGACAGAGAAACCCAAACCACUUAUAACUGUUACUACAGCCAAGAUACCCAUGUUUCCCUAAAAUCCCGUAUCUUAUACUCUAUCACACCAACACACAUACCCUGCUAUUCCCAUUAUAUCCUUGCCUUAAUGGCCUUGACACAUACUCAGAUCAUUACCUGGUAAAUUGAGCUCAAACUCCAAUACAAUACCUGAUCCUUCCAAGUUGAACCUUACAACUUAAUUGGCUUAUGUCUUUCUUAAUGCCCCACUCACAAAGGAGUCUGCCCUGUCUUUUCUACAUCCUCAAUUGACAAUUUUAAAAAACUACAAAUUACAUAGUCAAGUUACGGCUCAGUCCCCCUCAGAAGGUUAACAUAACAUUAAUGGCCAUCAGAUAAAAUAAUUGUUUAAUUUAUCCAGUGAGCUUUUGCAACUUAGAGUUGUACUCCAUAAAAAAUUAAUCCUACCAGAAACAGGUUCUCAUGACAACAAGAACAGAUGUGGCAGGAUGAUAAUACACAUGCUAAUACUUGGAUUGCAGGAACCUCUAUAGGCUACAACAGAAAGUUAGGAUGACUGGAAUAUAAAGAUAGAUAUGACAUCCACAUAUAAGAAACAAGGUCCCUAAAACCGCGAUCUUUGAAAUUCCUACAACUGUAUGACAAGGACUGUCUGUAGAUCAACUAUUUUUCACUCAAUUUUAAUUAUACAAGCAUACACAUAGAUCAACUAUUUUUCACUAAAUUUUAAUUAUACAAGCAUAUAAGAAACAAGGUCCCAAAAACCACGACCUUUGGAAUUCCUACAAUUGUAUGACAAGGACUGUUUGUAGAUCAACUAUUUUCACUCAAUUUUAAUUAUACAAGCAUACAUCUACAAGUCUACUCACAAAAGAACACAUUUAAAUAUACUAAAGAUCAAUUUGUGUUGCAAAAAGGAGAUGAUGGAACAAAAUUCACAAUAUCUGUUGAACUCACUAUUCGAACAUCAGCAGCACUAUACUUCGAAGAUUCUAGGACUGGCUCUUGCCGUGCACCCAGCUGAAGAAAAAAAGUGUACUCAUAAUUGUAAUGGCACAAAAUUUCAUAAAAGAUAAUAUAAGAUACAGUUCUACCAUGUAAACAAAUCAAACAAACUUAUCAUAAAUUGACAGACAAAACAGUCAUGUCUUAAAUGUCAAAAAGUACAAAACCUUUUUCAGAGCUUCUGCCUCUUCUAGAGCUUUCUGGGCUUCAUCUAUCAUACCCAUCUCACCUGUUAAUUUAAAGAAAAAAAUAAGCCUUACAGGAAAAUGAAAGAAAUUACAAUUAGUCUCCCAGAUGUCCAUUUUCCCAAAAAGUAUCAUAAAAUCCAUCUAUAAUUUGCUCCACCAGACACUAGACCCUUGCUGUCAACAACCCAACCUUGAAAUUUGAUGCCCUUAGCAUUUGAAUUUUGACACAUAAAGAGAUGCCAUAUCAAGCAUUAAAUGAUAAGUUAAAAAGAAAUAGCCAUGUGAAACUAUCUUUAAAUUGAUUGUUGUCGGCAUCUAUGGGAUAAUAACAUGGUCCUGACAUAGCCAAUUGAUUGGCUGAAAUAAGAAGCACAGUCAACAUUGACGCAGCAUCCGUACAACCUGUCCAUUGAAACCCACAUGGGACUAGGCAUGGUGCCAUUUCUGCACCACAUCACCACCAAAACAGCACAAUGGGAUAUACUAUAUAGUGGGCCCACAUGAAUGCCACCCAUAUACCAUGUCAGGGCCAUGUCAUCAUGACAUGAGCAACACAUUUUUCCAACAAAGCCAAAUUUAAUUUAUUUUUCACUUUUUAUAGCAUAAGGAGGCAAGUUGACCAAAAGAUAUUAAAUAUCUAUUCAUAUUGAGAAAUGCACUAUGAGUUGUCUGAACUCAAAAACAUAUUGAGAAAUAUCUACUCAUCAACAGAAACUAGGGAGUAAUUUACCAAGAUCUUCCGCUUUCUUUAGUUUUUCAUUAAUCAUUUCCUGGGUAUGAGGGUCUGGAGGAUUAAGAACAGGCAGAGUUGCUAAUGGAGAAGGAUUUUGAAUUGGCUGUGGCAAAGAAGCCCUGUCUUUGUUGAAAGCAUCAAGAAGAAGCACCGACUGCAGCAAAAACAAGAUCCUGGCUUAAUUGCCAAAAAAACACAACUGACUAAACAAAAGAGCACUCAGAAGCACCAUAAGCAACCUAAAAUUACAUGCUUGCAUGGCACAAAGUUGCUACACAUUGAUCUUGAAUAAUAAGACUUGAAUUUACUCAGUGACUCUGCAGAAUGGUACCUGUUUGUCAGCUCUUUGGGCUUUGAGUUCUUCCACCACCUCUAGGACCCGAAUUUUACUAUCAGUUUUUCCUUCAAAAUCUAUAGCAUCACAGAGCAACCAUAUUGCAUGUUGUUUAGUGGGACAAGCAGUAAGGAAUUAUUGGCCAUGAUAACAUGUGCAAUGGAUGUAAUGUACAAGAUACAAGCCACAAGAAAGACCAAUAGAAUGGAAAGCAUCCACAGAGUUACAUAUUUUGACAAUGAUCAAAGUACCUACGAUAGUUGUAGGAAAACAUUGUGAAAUUAUUUGCAAUUCAAAACACAUGUUCAAUAAAUGCCUUCAUGGCAGGGAGGAAAAGAAAUAUAUAAGUUUAAUGACUAAGAUGGAACCCCAGAAAUUUACUCAAUUGAAAAUGCAUGUAAAACAUACACGAGAAAGUAAAUGUGCAAAUGUGCUAAAAGAUCUAGAUACAGCUACCACGCAAACUGGGCGUGUAACAGGAUUGCACGCGAUCUAGGGUCCGGCUCGGGUUGAACAUCCUGAAAUGACUUAAAUUAGUCGGAUCAUGGCCAAGGUAUCAAGCAACUUAAACCAACCUGCACUCAAGCCCAUAUAAGGCUUAUCAAGUUAUGGGCCAAUAUCGGGCUUUAUGACAGUUGGUAUCAGAGUGGACUCAAUACAAGCCAUGGUGAGAAGAACAAAGUAGGAAGGUGCAACCCAUGGAUGGGGCUAGGGACACAUGAAGACAUGAACCAAUAUAGGACCUCACAUGCCGCCUACUAGCAAUGAUUAUGGACUAUGCAUUGGAACUUAGAUGUUGACAAGGACGUCAAGACUUACACCUAGUAUCAUUUACUUGGGCUUAAGCCUUUCAGAUCGUGUGGUUCUAAGCCCAUAAAGUCAUUGAUCAGUUUUCCCAUCAUACAGAGGAAAUAUAAUCUGCAGCAACGAAGCAUGAGGCAGUGGAAAGAUAAUCUGUGGGCAAUGAAGCAUGAGAUGAAAAUGAAAGAGAAUAUUCAUAAACUGAGUGUCCCUUUAAUUUCAACUGUUGUUUCAGAAUAUUCAUUCAGUGAUUGGUAAAAGAUGGAAGAGAAUCUACAUUUAUGCUUAUGGUGAGAUUGUUUCUUUUCUGUUUGUAUUGGUUGCUAAAUUCAAGAGAAUGCUUCAAUUGAUUUUUUUUAUGAUCUUCCUAGUGAGAUUUUUUGUUGGCUAAUGCAUGAAAGAGGAAAAUCUUUGUUCACCUCACUUCCACUCUUCCAACCUUCAAUAAGCAUGAAACUGGGUAGACUACAUAGAAAAACAUUAAUCUUAAACCAAUAAAUGAAGUUAACUUGAAGUACAGCAUACCCAUAGCCCAUAUAAAAUUAGCGUCAAACACAAAUUUGUAAAUUUCAAUAUUAUCAUGAACAAAAAGAAAUUACCGAAUACAUCAGCUUCUUUUAAUUUCUCCUUUAUUUGCUUCGACAAUUCGAUGGCUUCAGGCGUCUACAAUUUAAAAGGACAAAAACCAUUACACAGACUUGUGGUAUCUGUCACAUGACUGAUUAUCACAUCAUACAUAUAAAAGAAUAGAACAAUUACCUGAGUAACCUUGGAUACAGAUAUUGCUAUAGCAGCCUUAGCAUCCUCAUCCUCAAGUCGCUUGAGGGCUCUUUGAAUUUUCCUUUCACACUCUACAAUGAGUCUUUCUAUCAUAUCUUCAAGUUCUCUAUCAAAAUUAUGAUCACCUUUUGCUUUUGCUUCUUCAUAUCUAUGAAGAGUUUAGGAAUACAAGACAUGUACAGUGCUUCAGUAGCAACAGAAAAUGGAAUCAAAUAACUGAAGUUUCUGAUUAGGAGCAAUUCUGGCCAUCCAGGCAAACAGAUGUCUUUAUAUGUGUAGAACAUCCAUGUGUACAUGUAGCAUGCAUAUGUGUACAGUGAACUUUUAUAUGUAGGUCAUACAAUAUCUAAUGACAAAUAUGUAUGCAUAAAAAGCAAAAGAAAAUAUCUAUUGACAUGUAUAUACUAAAAAAGUCACAAAGAAGUCAAAAUCUAAAAGCUGCUCCAAACAUUAUGAAACAAAUUUACUGAUCCCUCUCCAUAAUGUGAUUCAAUGGAGACCAAAUAAGUGAGAAACUCAUUCAAAAUCCUGAGAACUUUUUCCAUCCAAGAUUAAGGGUGUAUUGGCAUUGUUCGCUAAGAUGCUCCGGUGCAUAAACAUAAAAAUAACCAGGAAGACUUAAAAGUCCAGCAUUAUCUAAUUAACAAAUGACUGCAUCCAGCCAACUAAAUAAAGGUGUUCAGGCAAUAUAAGAAUGAAACAUGAGAAUUAAUUUUAUCCAAUAUAUGUUCAUUACGGGCAUACAAAUCUACAUGUUUGAAUCCUGUAUAGCAAUACAUUAUUCAAUCAAGCAGCAGAAACAUGUUUCCGAUAUGUGAAAGUCUAAUUACAUUAUAGUGAAAGAUAUUACUCUAAAACUAUAAGACAGCAUUACGAUGAAGACGUGAAAUUUUGAUAGAUAGAACUUCUCUGCCCAUAUAAAUGGUACAAACAAAGCAACAAGAUUUGCACUCCAAGAAGCACCAUCUUGGCAGUCAAAUAUCAGAACCUUUGGCUUCAAAACAGACUUGAGCUAAGAGAAUACACAUGCUUAUUACAUAUUGUAGAAUAUGCCUGUUAAAAAUUGUGUAACUGUCCAGAAAAAAAUGUACAGAUAUUAGAGACCGUUUAAUAUGAUUUUGAAUAAUUAAAGUCAUGAUGAAGAAACAGUCAUUGUUCAGCUGCAUAACAAUCGGCAAGCACACAAAUUUAAACUUCAAUAUUACAUAAAACAUCAAGGCAGAUGUUUUAUCCUGUAUGAAGUCCAAAAACUUUGUCCCACAAAACUACACAUGCGACAAAAAAUGUGCUACUACAUGGUGCAUAGCCAAUAUGAAACUAACGAUUAUAAUCACUGGAAAGGUUCAUUGUUUACUAGAAGUCCUCAUUCUAAAUGCAACAGUUGUCAACGACUCUAAAGAAGAAGAAGAUAUGCAUAGUUUCUGAGCAGAAAGAUACUCUUUUCUCAGCUGCAAGGAAUGAAUCUUCGGACAGGGACCCAUAUCCAUUUUCUGAUACAAACCAGUAUAGAUGUAUCAGCGCACAUAAAAGUAGAUAAAUAGUUUGAGAUUUCAAGAUUUUAACUGCAGACAAAACUAUCAUUAGGGCACUCCAAAAAGACAAGUCAAGUUAAAAAGGCAAAUGAAAUGAUACCAACUGCUGCAAUGAACCAUGGAAUCCAAGCACGAAAGAUGGAACAUCAACAGCCAGGAAAACUAACCAUAAAAUUAUCGUAUCAACAGUAACCAAGCUAAAAAUAAUUAUAAGCUCCACAAGCUUCCCCUUCCAGACCAGAGAAUACAAAAGCAAAAACUACAUUAUCAAGUUACCAACAUCAAAAUUACAAAUGUAAUAAAAACACCAGCAAAUAAUAAACAAAAAACAAGCUCCAGGUACAAAAAGUUUUGGAUUUUCGACACUAAGAAGACCUGAUAUAAACAUAUGAUCAUAAAAAGCAUUAAAAACUCAACGAAAAAAAAAAAACCAGAGCCAAACAUCGCAUAAUCUCAAAACGAGGGGUUAAAAGGAUUUUGACGGCAAACAAUAACAGGAGAAUUGCCCAAAACGAACACACCAACAGAAUUUAACAAAACCCUAGCUAUCAGGAUCCAGGAUCCAUAUCUAUAUGUAAACUGUAAAGGCAUACAAGCCAGCGAGAUGGAUCGAAGGAUUAGGGUUUCGAGGAGGUGAGGUAAUCGACCGUAAGCUGGAAGAGGUCAUGGGGGCAGAGGCCGGCCAAGAAGAGGCGGCAGACGUCGCGGUCGUAGUACUUGCGGUUCACUUCCGUCACGUCCCCGUUGCGGUUGGCCCCCAUGAGCACGUCGAGCUGCUUCCUGAUGGCGUCCAUCCUCUCUCUCUCUCUCUCUCUCUGUCACUCUAUCUAGGGUUAGGGUUUCGACGAGGGGUUUUGGGUUCCCCCUCUCUCCGACUCCCACCUCAACGAACAAUCAGCCGCGGGCGAUGGGGCCUUUUGUAAGGAUCGAACGCAGAGAGAGAGAAGACAAGAUAUCGAAGCUGUGUCGACCCUCGCUGUGAAGUCGUCUUCGACGGAGGAAACGCCGUCUUAAAAGGAAGCCGCCUCUCUUCGAGGAGUUGUGCAAGCCAAGAGAGGGGUAGUGGUUGGAAUUUACAAUAGGAAAAGGACGAAUAUGAAAUAAAAUUGCAAUGUGGACUUUUUGCAACAUAAAACACACUACAUAUGUUCCUCCCAAACAUUAAAAAAAUAUUAUAUAUAUAUAUAUAUUAAAUUUUAAAGGACGAAUUCUUAUAAAAACAUCUUUUAUAUAUAUAUAUAUAUAUAUAUAUAUAUAUAUAUAUAUAUAUAUAUAUAUAUAUAUAUAUAUAUAUAUAUAUAUAUAUAUAUAUAUAUAUAUAUAUAUAUAUAUAUAUAUAUAUAUAUAUAUAUAUAUAUAUAUAUAUAUAUAUAUAUAUAUAUAUAUAUANNNNNNNNNNNNNNNNNNNNNNNNNNNNNNNNNNNNNNNNNNNNNNNNNNNNNNNNNNNNNNNNNNNNNNNNNNNNNNNNNNNNNNNNNNNNNNNNNNNNNNNNNNNNNNNNNNNNNNNNNNNNNNNNNNNNNNNNNNNNNNNNNNNNNNNNNNNNNNNNNNNNNNNNNNNNNNNNNNNNNNNNNNNNNNNNNNNNNNNNNNNNNNNNNNNNNNNNNNNNNNNNNNNNNNNNNNNNNNNNNNNNNNNNNNNNNNNNNNNNNNNNNNNNNNNNNNNNNNNNNNNNNNNNNNNNNNNNNNNNNNNNNNNNNNNNNNNNNNNNNNNNNNNNNNNNNNNNNNNNNNNNNNNNNNNNNNNNNNNNNNNNNNNNNNNNNNNNNNNNNNNNNNNNNNNNNNNNNNNNNNNNNNNNNNNNNNNNNNNNNNNNNNNNNNNNNNNNNNNNNNNNNNNNNNNNNNNNNNNNNNNNNNNNNNNNNNNNNNNNNNNNNNNNNNNNNNNNNNNNNNNNNNNNNNNNNNNNNNNNNNNNNNNNNNNNNNNNNNNNNNNNNNNNNNNNNNNNNNNNNNNNNNNNNNNNNNNNNNNNNNNNNNNNNNNNNNNNNNNNNNNNNNNNNNNNNNNNNNNNNNNNNNNNNNNNNNNNNNNNNNNNNNNNNNNNNNNNNNNNNNNNNNNNNNNNNNNNNNNNNNNNNNNNNNNNNNNNNNNNNNNNNNNNNNNNNNNNNNNNNNNNNNNNNNNNNNNNNNNNNNNNNNNNNNNNNNNNNNNNNNNNNNNNNNNNNNNNNNNNNNNNNNNNNNNNNNNNNNNNNNNNNNNNNNNNNNNNNNNNNNNNNNNNNNNNNNNNNNNNNNNNNNNNNNNNNNNNNNNNNNNNNNNNNNNNNNNNNNNNNNNNNNNNNNNNNNNNNNNNNNNNNNNNNNNNNNNNNNNNNNNNNNNNNNNNNNNNNNNNNNNNNNNNNNNNNNNNNNNNNNNNNNNNNNNNNNNNNNNNNNNNNNNNNNNNNNNNNNNNNNNNNNNNNNNNNNNNNNNNNNNNNNNNNNNNNNNNNNNNNNNNNNNNNNNNNNNNNNNNNNNNNNNNNNNNNNNNNNNNNNNNNNNNNNNNNNNNNNNNNNNNNNNNNNNNNNNNNNNNNNNNNNNNNNNNNNNNNNNNNNNNNNNNNNNNNNNNNNNNNNNNNNNNNNNNNNNNNNNNNNNNNNNNNNNNNNNNNNNNNNNNNNNNNNNNNNNNNNNNNNNNNNNNNNNNNNNNNNNNNNNNNNNNNNNNNNNNNNNNNAUAUAUAUAUAUAUAUAUAUAUAUAUAUAUAUAUAUAUAUAUAUAUAUAUAUAUAUAUAUAUAUAUAUAUAUAUAUAUAUGAUUCAACCUUCUGCAUGAGGUAUUAUAAUGUCAAAUUUGUUAUAGUUCAAUGAUCAAUCAACCAUGACAGUUGUUAAUUAACAAAAUUCUAAUCCUACAGGACUGCUUGAUAAUUGCAGGGUUUAGAAAAGAAAUCUACAAGAGAGAAGAAAAGAUGGGGUUUCGGGAAAUCGAAGCAUGGCGAGUUCAGUUCUUUCAUUCCCCUGUAUAGAGAACCAAGCAGCAUUGAGAAAAUACUUGAAGAUGCCGAAAAUGAGCAGCACCAGAGAUUGCAUUUGGUGCCCCCGAAGAAAAUUCAACAGUCUAAAUCACCUGCACUUCGGCCAGCAGUCAUCCCCAACUAUGUUCACAUUUCAGCAACCAGAAUUCAAGCAGCCUAUAGAGGUUACAAGGUCAGCUCAAUUAGUAUUUGAAUUGCGGCUUCCUUCCUUUUAUCUUGUUAGUAUUUGAUUUAUCGAUAUAAAACACACGGAUCAAGUCGACUAAAAUCAGAAUGUCAAUGUGCAAGAAAAAAAAACUAAUACCACCUUCCAUAGAGAAUUUAGAAUUCUGCAACAUGAUAGAGGUGGCCUUUUGUCCUACUUUUUCCUCGAAGAACAGAUGUGCACCUUAGCAGAGAUCAUAAUUAGUUGAUAUCAGUUUCAUCUAAAGAUCAAAAGAGCCAUGCACAGAAAACUGUAUCUUGCAACCCUUUGUUCAUUAAAUCUCAGCACUAUGAUCUGUUUAGUGAGCUUAAAAGAAGAUAGAAAUCAAAAUUCCUUUACAUGAAGCAGGCGAGGCAGAGCUACGGAGCGCUGAGGGGACUAAUGCGACUUCAAAGAGUCAUGAGAGGGCAGCACGUGAAGCAUCAGACGAUGAACACCAUGCGAUGCAUGCAGAUGCUUGUUCGAGUACAGUCACAAAUACACAGCAGGAGGCUGCAGAUGGUGGAGAGCAGGAGCCUUCAACUCCACCACACUCCACGAAUGAGCGAAAAGGAGAUGGAGAGCAACUUUGGCGAAUGGAGCGUUGCUCACCAAGUGAGAGAUCACCAUCAACAAUUACUUGCCCAAUGCAUCUCAUGCAUAUGAGCAUAUCUACUACCUUUGGUUGUGCACAUCUUGCAGACCGAAGCAGGAGGCUACGGAGAAUGGGACGAUAGCUUGCUCACCAAAGACGAGGAGGAAGCGAGGAUGCGAAGGAAGGUGGAGGCAGUCAUCAAGAGAGAGAGAGCAUUGGCUUAUGCUUAUUCCCAUCAGGUAAUGUUCCCAUGCUGAUGAAUCAAACAUGUUCUGCCAUCAAUCUUACAGUAAACACACUAUCUUGAAAUGUGGAGUUCUAAAGCCUUCCUCUUCCUCGGGUAACUCAUUAGAACCACAAAGCGAUCAUGCAAGCAAAUCUGGCCUUCAAAUCGUUUCUAAAUGUUUAUUAGCCUGUAGCUAAUCUGAAACAUCAACAACAAUGCUAACUUGUUCAUGGAUUCUUUGAUGGCAGCUACUGAAGGUGACGCCCAGGUCAGCCGAGGCGAUGCUGACCGGCCUCCGGUCCGCCAGCGCCCCAUGGUGGUGGACAUGGCUCGAGCGGCAGCUCCCGUCCGACCAAGCGUACGCGGCGCCGCCAGUCGAAACGCCGCGCUUCCUCGCCGCGGGACUCCCGCGAGCCACGCCCGCCCCGGCCCCGGCCCCCCAGCAGCCGCACCGACACCGCUUGCGCCGCAGGCACGAGGACGCGGACGACGCGAGCCUCACAAGCUGCCCGCCGUUCGAGGUGCCCAACUACAUGGCGCCCACGGCCUCCGCCAAGGCCAAGGUGAAGGACCACCAUGCGAACCAGGAACCGAAGAAGAAGAGGUUCUCGUUUGCUCUGGGGCAGAGCAUAGGCUCCCUGUUCGGCGGCAAGGAGACAAUGGGUGGCGGAGGUUGCGGUGACGGCAGUGGCUGCGGGGCGUCGCAGAGGACGGAAAGACGAGGGAAGCACAGGUCGACGGUGUCGGUGGGUGGCAUGAGCAUCGACUCCAUCGUGUCGCUGCCUGCGGGCGCUGUUGCCGGGCGGAGGAGCUUCGUGUAGUUAUUCUUUGUGUGUUAUCUGACUUGUUUUGUUUUUGUUGUGUUUUCUGCUGUUUAUGUUUUUGGUAUCAACUCUCCCAUGAACUCUGUGACUGUGUGUUGUAUGUUUGAUCUUUGUUGAUUGCAGUAAUAAACAUCAAUAAUAACAAUUCUUAUCUUAUAAUUGUUUUCAUUUAAGAUAAUGUUUCUUACUCCCUCACAUGAGAAAAUGCUUAUGAGUCUAUAUGCAUAAAAUCUACGUAUAAUAGGUUGAGUUCAGAUUUGGAGACGUAUACGGAAAAUGGAUCGAAUCGAGUCAUCCCAAGAAAGGGUUACGGAUCCGAUCAUAAACAGUGAUCACAUCAUCACAGAAACGGACUCGGACCAUGCGGUUUCAAGAACCCGAUCCGGACCCGCUUUGGGCCGUCUAUAAUAGCACCUUCGGCGCUGCUUUUGGAUUUCGGAGCCGCAGGUGAAUCCGCCGAACCAAAGAGGCCCAGCUGCGACCGCCGUUUCCUGCGGUCCCAACCGGACACGACGCCUUUGCGAGUCAUUAAAGGAAACGGAAAACCCUAGAAGAAACCUUAGAGGCCGCUCGCUUCUCGUUUGUCGCAGCCCCCGGAGUCUCCCGGACGACGAAGUGAAGCGAUGUGGUGGCGUUCCAGAGCUAGGGGUUUCCUUCUCCGAUCCUUGAUCCGACGGCCCUUUCCAUCCCAAUCGAAGCGCGGUUCUUCCAAAACCCUAUCCCCGAUCCCUCCUUUCACGCUCGGAUGGGCCCGUCCCGUCAAUCUCCAGUUCCAAAACCUCCGGUUCUUCUCUUCGCCAAACGAAGCUGUUUCUGGAGAUGACGAAGAUAAAAACCGUAGCUUUGGUUUCGUGGAGUCGAGUGAUUCAUUGAUUUCGGAUGCCGGCGAAACUGGGAUCGACGGAGUUGAUGAUGGAGGGGAGGGUUCUUCCGAGUUGGAUGGUGGGAAGGAUGAAAGUCAGGUGGGGGCAGAGAGCCUGAGCUCUUUACGGGAGGAGAGCAUUCAGGAUGAUGAUUCCUUGGGCAUUUUUGCUCCCUUGGAGCCCGUAGGCGAAGCAGCAGAGGAUCCGGGCUCGGUCACUGAGAUUGAUAUCCAGCAGGUCGACAAGGUACGGUCCCUUCUUCGAGAUUCUUCGCAAGAGCCGUUGGAAUCUAGCUUGGAUAAGAUUGAAGUCAGUUUGAGUGAAGAGUUAGUGGCGAUGGUGCUUCAGACACCUUAUGUCUCGGGUCACAAUUUGGUUGGCUUCUUCAGAUGGGCUUUGAGAAGUGAAGAAUCGGUCAAAUCUUUGAAGAUGGUGGAGCUUCUUGUCAAUGCUCUCAGCAGUUCUGCAGAUCUUAACAAAAUGGGGGCAUACAUGUUGUGGGAUUUGAUCAAGGAAAUUGGAAAUGAGAAGGGGUUGGUAAACACUUCGAUUCUUAAUCAAUUAAUAUCAAUGUUUGGGAGACUUGAGAAAGCCAGAGCAGGUCUUGAAGUUUUCGACAAGUUCGAUGAAUUCAGUUGUAACCCAGAUGGAAAUACAUACUACUUAACAAUUGAAGCCCUUCGUAAACGAUCCAUGUUUAACGCUGCAUGGUCUGUUUGCGAGAAGAUGCUUAGCUCAGGAAACCUUCCUGAUGGUGAAAAGCUUGGUAAGGUGAUAUCUUUCUUAUGUAAAGGGAAAAUGACAAAAGAGGCCCAUUUGGUUUAUUUGAUGGCUCAGGAAAAGAAGAUAUUCCUUCCAAGAUCUAGCUUCGAUUAUUUGGUUAGCAGUCUCUCUAGAAAGGAUGAAACUGUGCGGAUAGCUCUAGAGUUAUUGGACAACUACCCUACAGAUUCUCUCAAGUAUGCAAAUACAACUUUUGGUUCAGUGGUUCACGGAUUAUGUAGGGUUAAAGAGCCACAGGAGGCAAAGAAAUUGCUGCUAAGAAUGGCGCAAUCAGGGCCAGCACCUGGAAGUGCAGUGUUCAAUUAUGUUAUUACUGCUUUGUCUAAAGGAGGAGAAAUGGAGGAUGCCAUUGCUGUGAUGAAGAUAAUGGAAGGUAGAGGACUACGACCAGAUAUUUAUACUUACUGUGUAAUCAUGAGUGGCUUUGCAAAAGGCGGCCUGAUGGAUGAGGCAUAUGGGAUCUAUCGUGAAGCCAAGAAAAAUCAUGCUAAACUUAGUCCCGUAACUUAUCACAUACUUAUACGUGGUUAUUGCAAGAUGGAGGAAUAUGACAAGGCCCUUAAUUGCUUGAAGGAGAUGAAAGACUAUGGGGUACAACCUAAUGCAGAUGAAUACAAUAAAUUAAUAAAGACUUUAUGCCUCAAGGCUGUUGAUUGGUGCACAGCUGAGAAGCUUCUGGAGGAGAUGAAAGAGAGUGGUCUGUUCCUUAAGGGAACAACCCGCAGUCUUAUUACAGCAGUGAAGGAAUUGGAACAGGAAGCACAGUCAGAAUCAGUUCACGCUGAAGCAUAAGUUAACAUAUUCUGAACUGAGGCUGGCUAUUUAUGCCUAGUUGUUGUAUUAUUAUUUAACAUCAAGAUGUAGGCAUGGAAAUGAGCUUCAGAGUCAUGAAUAUGUUCUUACCACACAAUUUUGUACUUUCAAGGGGCAUCUUUCUUUGGGCCUUUUAUUUUUUUUGCUUUUCAUUUAAUUUCAGUUGCUUCUUAAUAAAUAAUAGUGUCUUUUGUUGCUUAUCUUGUAUAAGCUAAUAGACCCUAUUCAUGUUCUUCCCUUUAUUUUAUAGUUUAAGCUCCAUUUCAGCCAUUUAUAUAUAUGCUAUUUUUUAUUUGAGAACUAUUAGUCAACAUAAUGCUUUAAGCGGUAGGUUCAUUGUUGACUUAAGAAUCUUAACUGCAGAAUGCUUAUAAGACUAUUUUAUACGUUUGGGUGGAAAGUGCUGCUUACUAUAAGGUGAUGGUAUUGUUGAUCCCAGUUGCUCAGCUUCUAUUUACUAUGGAAAUGUUUUUUUUUUUAAUUUACUAUGGAAAUGUUGCCCUCAUGCAUGCCUGUGUUUGAAAUUUUUUUUCCCUCAAAUGAGAUUUUGUAUUUUCCUCGGCAUCUGCUUAGUUCAUUAACCUGCAUUGUUACUAUUUGAUCCACGAAAACUUAUUCUCAAUGACAUGUAUCCUCGUCUACCUUGCAACCCUCCUCUCCUACAGGCCCUCUUCCUUUAAAUGCUCACUUGAUUGUUGAGACGGGCAAAAUAUGAUUUACAAGUGAUCUAAGUUUAUUGACAUGCAAAUUGUAAAUGCUUUGAUUAGUUUAUGCUGCUUUAUCUUGUCAAUAUGCAGUGUCUUAUAGAUACUUAUAACUGCCUUAUCUUAUAUAUGUAUAUCUUCACUGUGUGUUUAUUAUUUUCCUGUACAGUUACCGGUCACUGUGCAUGUGUGCACAACAGAAGUAUAUCAGGAAGACUGAAUCAUGUUGCAAAUAAGAUAUUGAAGGACAUCAAGGGAGAGUAUUUUGCUGCAAUGGUUUGGUAAAAAAAUUACUUUUGUGUUAGUUAACUGUUUGUUAUGCAGGUCUUGCAGAUAAAUUUUUAACUUCUGUUCAAUUUUAUUCACUAGUCCUAUUUUCAGCAUACAUAGUAAUAUCUGGCUUAGAUUCUGCCUUUAAGCCUGUGUUAGAGGUUGAUUACCAAUUUGUUUAACUCUUGAUAAAUACAGGACUUUACUCUGGCGAUGGUAGUCUACAUAUAAGCCACCAUACUAUGGCAUCCUUAGUUGAUAAAUUUUUUUAAGUAUCUUAGUUUUAAAACUAAGAUGAGGUUCUGAUUAGCUGAAGAAAUGCAUAGUCAAGACAAAUUCUAAUUCAAAGUAUGGAUUUUGCUAAGCUCUAAGGUUUUGUAUGCACAGAAUGCUAGCUAGAAUGCAGAAGUUUGUGUUUUGGCAUCAAACACAUAACUGUAGAUAAUUUUAAUAUCUUUGGAGAUUCACAUGCUUUAAAUUGGUGAAUCGUGUUUGUAGUUAUACUUGAUGUUGAGCCAAUUACAUAAUGCAUAUUACCCCUUCUAAUUAGAUCUCAUUAGCAUUUCGAUCCCUAGACUUAAAAAAUUUACAUUGAAAUUCUUAUAAAUAUGAAAGCGAAACAUUUAACUCAUUUAUCCUAACAUUGUCGGUUUUACCGAUGGAAGAUACAGCACGUGACAGCACAUGCAUGAAUGACACUAAAAUGAUGGGCAAAAAGAUAAUUUCAACGAUGGUAGUGGAUGAUAGCGUCGUGGGUAGCUGUUGUGGUGGUAGUCGGUGAGAAUGAUGUGGAGGUUGACCUUGUCGAUGUGAAUCUAAACAUCAACAACGAGAAAGACAAGGCAGAGCGAUGAGGCAUUUGCAUUGAUGUUGUAUUGGCGUUGCCUCCUCUUCCUCUUCUGACAUCGAUCUGCGUCGGCGUUGGAAGAGGAAGAUACGACAAGUGAGGCAUAUGCAUCACCAAUGAUGAGGAGGGAAGAGGAAUAGGAGGCAGAGUGAUCCGACGACGACACAGAUGCUUCACCUACCUCCUCUUCCUCCUCUGGUGUCGCAUCACAAGCUGACAUCCUCUUAAAAUUCGUCGAGGCAAAUGGUGCAAUCAGUGCUCCGCACCAAUUCCUCACCUUUUUGGUACUUGUGAACUGCAAUCUUGCUCAUCAAUGUCUCAUCAAGCUUGUUCGAUGAAACUUCAUAUGCUUCCCCAUCGAACGGGCUUGAUAAGGCAUUGAUCAACAAGAUCGCAGCCCACAAGUACUAGAAAGGCGAGGGAUCGAUGCAGGGCACCGAUUGCUCCAUUUGCCUCAAUGUAUUCCGGGAGGAUGAGGUAGAACGGUGCGACGCCGGAGGAGGAAGAAGAGGCAAGUGAGGCAUCUGUGUCGGCACCGCAUCGCUUUGCCUCCUCUUCCUCCUUUGGCACCGCUCUGCCUCACCUGCCUCUUCUUUGUCGUCGGCAACGCAAAUGCCUAACUUGCCUCCUCUUAGCACCAACGCAGAUGCAGAGUGGCAUUGGAGGAGGUAGAGCGAUGCGACACCAACGCAGAUGCCUUAUCGCUCUGCCUCCUGAUCGUCGAUGUUCAAAUCGACAUCGGCAAAGAUCGACCAUCGCAUCGUUCUCAUCGAUUACCACCACAACAGCCACCCGCGGUGCCAUCAUCGUGAAAUUACCUUUUGCUCAUCGUUUUUGUGUUAUUCAUGCACGUGCUAUCAUGUGUUAUAGCUUUCGUCAGUAAAGAGGAUGACGUUAGGAUAAAUGGGGUUAAAUGUUUCACUUUCAUAACUAUAGGAAUUUCAAUGUAAAUUUUUUAAAUAUAGGGAUCGGGAUGCUAAAGAAGUCUAACUAUAAGGGAUAAUAUAUAAUUAGCCCGCUUGAUGUUGCUGAAAAUUGAAUAUUGAAUGUCAGUGCUCUGCUGGAUCUUUGUCAAUAAUAAUUUUUGAAAUUUUCUUCAAUAUGUGGGUCUGUUUAGCUUUAAUUGCUAUCUGGAGACACUCGGGGCUUGAUUACUCUAUUGCUAUGAGGUUCUUUGGGUUGAUUGGAGUUGUUGCAGUUUGAUUUAGUCUGAUAUUAACACCUCCCUUGCAAUUUUUGGAGACUUAUAUCUGCAAAGACCAUCACUUUCAGUUCCUGAUCCCUGAAGGUCUUUCGGAGUUGUACUCUGUUGGAAAUAACUUUUAGUUGAGAUGUUCUUUCAUGGUUUUUCUUGAAUGCAAGUUUGAUUUAAAUUUUUUUUUGAGAAUUCGUAACCUCUGGCAUAGUCUACUCUGCUUUUGGAAUUUGGGAAAAAUUCCAAAUUAAGGUUUGAGGAUUGUCUACUACUAUUGCAUAUAUCUUGCCUUUGAGGAUUUUGGUUUGCAAAAUAAGGUUUGACCACUAAAACGAUUGAAUGUUUGCUAGUGCGGAUACUUUGCUUGAAGGAAACAGGCAUCAUGAACUGGAAUUGGAGAUUGAAUGCGGAUAUGGGCUCGAACAACAUGAUCAAGUUGUCUACAAAGACAUGGUAAAUGGCAUGAGAAACAUGUUUUGAUAUUUGCUAGUGAAUUUGUGUUGAUGCCAUGAGACCUAUGAAAAAUCAUGUUAUUUAUCUUCGAAACUAAAAGUUGAUGUGAGAAAUACAAACAUUAUGUGGUUGGUUGCUGUUGUAUUGUAGAGUGGCAUUAUAUAUCCCAAGUAACCCUGACCAUGGUUAAGUUUGGAGCUGGAACCGAACUGGAUUUGAACCCGAACCGGCUUCAUCCAAUGGUUCAUCAAUUCCAAUCCGAAUCGAAUCGAAACAACUCAAUUAUUAUUCUUGGUUUUUGAAAACCAGAAUCAACAGUCCCUGCACUGAAAAAUCAAUAUCAAAAUCAAAAUCUCUGGCUCUGAUCUGAACUGGUAAUUUCCAAACUUUUAAAAAAUAUAACUUUCAUUUAAAAUUAUAAUUAUUUUAAUUAAAAAUAGAAAAAACUGAUGGUAUGAUCAGGAACUGAACCGGACCUUUGGUUCUUCAACCCUAUGUGAUUUGAUUUCGGUUCCCAAACUUUAAGAACCAAAAUUAUCGAUUCUAAAACCGAGACCAGAUCUAAACCCAACCACAACACCCAGUCAAACAUAAGUCACCUUUUAUGCAAGGUAAAGAAACAGAGAACUCAAGGAAGAUAGAAUGUUCUCUUAAACAGCAAGUUACAGUGAAUGCAAGCAACAUCAAAUCUAGCAUGUCUUGAGUAUCUCCAUGUGAAACAGCAUGCUGUUUUUUACACUUCCCCAUAAGAUAUUAGCAUUAGAUGAUAAUAAUGUACACAUACAUAUCUAUACACACUAUAAUCAGUCUACAAGUACAAAGCACCAUCUCUGCUCGGCGCAGCAGUACAAGAUCAGUACAAAGAAAGGAAACAAUACAACACCAUUUAGUAAAAACAUACAAGAUGAGGUCAAAAGAUAACAACUACGGGUGGCACGAGCAUCUGGCUUAGGUAUCAGUGCAAAGUUGCAUACGAAUGCAUGCGUCUUUAGAAUUUAGAACUCCGACUUGAGGAGCUUCGAUCUAGGUUCUAUGUUGACAUACGAAAAAGGGUUCUCCUGUUCAACAUGUAUAUAAUCCUUUGUUUUCAGGACCUGCAAAAGAGAGAGUGCACACUAAUAAAAAGAAAUAUGGGGAAAAACUGCUGAGUGACAGAUUUUUUUCACAUGUGAAGUGCCAAAGGGCCUCAGUCACUACAUGAAUUGCAAUUCAAGAUAUGAGAGCAGUAAAACAGAAAAGGCAAAUUGAGUUUAGCAGUUUGCAAGAUAUUGGCAUACCAAAGUCUCAAAGAACAUCCUUGAUGCUUCUUUGCGACUUCUUCCAGCUACGAUGUGAUCCAUAGCAAGGUUUUUUCUCACACGUCCGGAUUCUCCCUCGAACAAAUUUUUUAAGUAUCUCGCAACACCUCUGAAAUUUUUGUAUGAAAACAUCAGUUUAUGCUCAGAGAUUAACCACGAUAAAUAUAUACUAAACUAAAAUAGAAUCUACCUUGUCCUGGAAGACCAACCACUAUUUUCAAGUGAUUGGGCCUCUUCAGGAUUCAGUGCAUCAUCUGCUUCUUCAUUAUAGUCUGCUUCAUCAUCUGCAUUAAGAAACUCUGACAAAAAACGAGCAUAAGGUAUAAGAGAAGUUAAUGCCACCAGCCUGUAUUAUGAAAAGGCAAAAUAUUCUUUAGUUCGAAGCAUCAAGGGGAAAGCUGACUAUGAUGGUUUUUUUAGCUCACAAUAAUCAAGAUCAGAUGAAGAGACAAAAGCAGCACAAUAUCAACUAAUGUCGUCACUUGUUGACUAUGAAAUGUUGAUUAUCCAUGUCAAUAGUAGGUAUCGGUGCUGUUAAAUUAACUGUGCUACUAGAUUCCAUGAUAAACACUGAACAUAGUUAAUUCCAGAACAAUCUCUUCUUCUGUCCGGGAGAUCUUUUCAUGAACUCCCUUCCAAGCAUCUACAGGAAAACUUCUAAUCUUCUUAUAUACAGAAACCAUUUGGAAUAAAACACAGAGACCAGGGCAUCAUGUCUGAAGUAUCUAAACAAAAUUAGUUCAAAUUAGAGGAAAGAUCUUUCUUCCAUGAGUUGGAAUAUUUUCCUAGAAAUAAAACAUAUAAAGUUGUAAUAUUUCUUAUAAAAGUUUGGAGAAUUUUUGCCAUGUAGGACACUAAAUGUAAGUGAUUGACAUUAUUCUUCUAGUUCCUGCCAUAGAAGAAUUUUCAAAUAAUGGUGGACGACAUCUUCACUCAAGAAGACAUCUCAACAGAAAAAAAGGGAUGAAGUAUCAAUAAACAUGGAUCUUAUAAGGUCGGGGAGACCAAGUAUAACCUCAACUUGAGAUUCUAUGGUUGCUGACAGCAGGAUAGUUCCAUCUAAUGUUUUUACAAGUAAGAUGUAGCUGUACCCAUCAACAUGAAAUGGGAAAUACUAAUACAACAAGCAUAUCACUUUUAUCAUAAAAGAAUAAUGGCAUUUUUGUUCUUCUGAGAAACUAUUGAAGGUUACAGGUACCUUUGUGCCCUAUUUGGUCAAUCAUCUCUCAAAAUUAAGAACUGAUUUGUUAGAAAUUCUGAGAUUAAUGAACUUAAUCACAGCAAGAAAAGACAAAAUAUGGGACCAAGAAAUUCUGAGGUUACAGGUUUCUUUUCUCACUUCGUUCUAGACGUUAGGGACAGUAGAAGUGCUUCAGAUUAUCCCCCACUACUUAAAAAGCAAAAAGACACAAGAAUAUAUGGGGAACUGUUAUGUGCUAUAUUAAUUAGGGAUUAUCCUUUAUAUGAUAGAAUGGUGUAUGGCAAUAACUUCUUAUACUUAAUUUAAGCAGUCAUUUGAAGGUCAUGCAUCAGAAACACAAUUUUCCUUUUCAUAGUAAAAUUAAAAAAAAAAGGGAGUAUGAAAACGUGCUGCAAAUUAAAUAAGAAGAAUACCUGUACCAUUGCCACCAAUUGCACUGCAAAAGUCCUGCAAAUGGAAACAUGUCAAUAUAUAGAAGUAUAAAAUUCAGGUGCAGCAAAAGAACACUUACAACUUGCAUAUAUGGUUACUGGCAGCAAUAGUGUAAAAAUUUAUUCAAUCAUACAGGAAGACCCACUGCAGGACAUGUGACAGGCUUCAAGCAUGCCACAGGUUUGCACAAUGUCAAGAAGCUUUCAGAAUUCCCAUUGCAAGAUAUGAAUUGAAGCUAAAAAUAUUUUCACUGAGAACUGGAAAAAUAUAAACAAUUCAUGACUUCUACAAUUUUUAAUAUUAGCUAAGUCGAGAACUUACACUACACUCUUUUGCAGUGUUGAAGUCCACGGGGCUUUCUCCACUGCCGGCAAGGUUAAAUUCCAGCAAACAAGAAUUUUCUCCCACUAAUGAAGGAAUAUUUUGGAUGUCACUAUUUGGUUUGAGCGAGGAUAAACCAGCUAUCUCAGAUCCUUCUGAAAAGCUAAUAUCGGGAAUAGAAACUUCUUUAUUAUCCAUAACUAUGUGUGCAAUAGCUUCAUUCUCCACUCUGUUACCAAGUUGGCCUUCUUGUUCCUGCAUAGCCUUGUCAGUUGGUUCACCAACUUCCUGGAUCAUAUCCUGGGAAGAACUCACAUCCAGCAUGACAGUUAAUCUGCCUUCUGGCAAAUUUUCAUCAUCUUGAGGUAAACAGCUAUCUAGUGUAGAGACCAACGAAUGACUACAUUCAUUCUCUAUUUCAAAACAAACAUCUUGAGGGUCACUUGGAAUUACCACAUCCACCGAACCCCUCUCCUCCAUGACUGAUGCAUCUGUAGCAGCACAUUCAACUUCAACAUCGAUCAUGGUAUCACUAUCCAAAACUGCAGGCAUUUUCUUAUCAACUGGCCUACCUUCAGGAUCAUUCUCACCAGUAGCUAAGCCAUCAGCAGGAGCUUUAUCAUUUCUUUCCUGUUCAUUUAUAUCUGUUGUUACCACUGUACAUGGUGUAUUAUUGCCUAAAGCCUCAAGUUGAGGUAGGCCAGCUCGGGAUUGUAAAUGUUCUUGAGCAUCACUGUUAUAAGCAAUCAUGCUACUCCCAACUUCAGUUGACACAGAUACACCAGGUGAUUCCUGUCUUCCAAAACCAGUGCUAUUUGGCACUGUUGGAUCAGCUGUUUCUUUCUCAUCAGCUUCCCUGAUGAUGCCUGACCUUCUAGAAUAGUUGGAUUCUUUCAACAGCUCUGCACAAGAAUUGAGGUGGUCUGCUACAUAAUCGUAUACUUGAGAGUGCAGGGCACUCAGCUCCACAGACAUACCUGGAAGUAGAAUAUACGUGUCAAGCCUACAUACUGAUGGAAGGAUGGCAUGAUUAUAAAGACAUGAAACAAGAUUGCAAAUACAACUGAUGACACAGAGUUAAUCAACAGCAUCAACUCUGUAUCAGAAAAACAAGAAAUCAGAAGAACAUCAUCGAAAAGAAACUAAAAAAAUCAAAUAGGUCAAUACUUCAUAAUUGUUAAAACGGAUGAACCCAAUGCAUGAGUUGCGAGUUGGGAAGGACUAACGUAUGCAACGUUCUCUACAUUUAAAAAUGUAGAGUUUGAUAUUUUAUGAUAUUCUUCUUUUUCCUAAAAUGAAUUAGGUAUGCUUCAACUUACCUAACAUGAAAAUGACUAAAAGCAAUUGACAACGAUGAAAAACUGAGCCUAGAAGUGCUCGGUAUGAAACAACUGAGAUGAGAAGCACUCUUCAUAAUUGGACUUUGUGGUUGCCAUUACUCCAUUUGGGUAAGACCAGGGAGUAACUGCAGAAACAGCUUGAGGCUAGUGAAAGCUGAAGUUGCAUAAUACAGAUGAACUUGCUGGAUGCAAGUUUAAUAAAUGGAUGCAAGUUUGCUGUUAAGUGAAUAAUUCCAAAAUUCCCGAUCUCAGCUAAUAAAAUUAGCUAAACCAGAUGAACUUGAGACAUCACUCUACUAAACUUUGUGAUUGGUCUGUUGUAGUCCACCCACAAAUGACUUGCAGUAGAACUAAUGUCAAAAGUUAUCAAUUCAACUUUCCAAGCUUUUUAAACCAUCCUUGGACAUGACUUUAUAAUAAAUAGAAUUUAUUAUAUGCUCCACAAAGGUAAAUUAGAGCACCCAAAUUCCAAGUUUGAUAGUGUUAGAAAGAAAGGGAAAAAAUACACAUAAAUAUCUUGGCAUUCAUCAAACAAAUUUAAGUAUAUAAAGAAAUUGCUCCAACAAAUAAAUGAUGACUUUUAAGUUGUGCGUAAGUCACAGAUAACAUAAAUCAAUAAGCCAAAAAAAAAGCUAACCAGUAGUAAUAGGUUCCAUGAAAAUUUCAUCAUCUGCAGAACUUUUCUGAAUCAUCCAAAUUUCAGGAUGUGUACAGGGUGCUUUCCUUCGUACGCGUCGUAUAUCUUCAGUGUGCAUUAGCUGUUGCCGAAUUGCACUAUAAUAGGCAAAAGAAAGUUUCAUCACAUUGCAUCAACACAAGUAGCAGCUCCAAAGAAAAAAUGAAAAGAGCAUAGGGUGACAUUUUUCAUAGUGACAACCAAAAAGAUGAGGAACUCAAAUAUUCAAAAACAAGAAUUUCUUUAAGGAUAGUUUCCUUAUUUCAACUAGUAAAGGCUUGCCCUCAGUAGUUCCCCUACUUUGUAUGGGAACAUCAAGAAAAACACAAGCCUUCUUCUAAGGAUAAGUUGAACUCAACCAGAUGACACUAGCUGCAAAAUCUCUCAGACUUACACGGGGUUUAAGGUGCGAUGUCCUGAUGGCUUAAACAAAAGGUUCCGAUCAUGGAAGCAAAUUGUAAUGGUAAGGACAACAACAAUACUGAAAUGUGGAGAUAAAAAAGAAAGAUGCAUACUCAGCAUGUAAGACUGUAAUAUCAUCCAACAGCACUUUCUUCAGCAUGCCUAAUUUGGGCGUUGCUCUAGGCCGUUUUAGAGAAGUUGCUUUUGGCAGAGGUGGAGUGGGACCAAUCCUCAAGAGUGGAGUCCUCUUUCCUACUGAAAAAAUGACCAAAAUAAUUAAGUAAAAAAAUGAGGGAUUUAUAGUAUAUUCACAUGCAAGAUUGUUAUCUUGGAUCCAAAUAGAUGAGAAGAAAACAAUUUAUUAGUACUUAAGUAAUCAAUUUAGAAAGUGAACACAACAUUCAAGCCAAAAGAAUUCUUACCUAAUAUAGAUGCUAACAAAUCAUCAUCAUCAGGAAUAGAUUCUGUGCUUCUUCUAAAUGGUUUUCUGCCAGACAUUUUGGCUGAACUACCAUUUGGCAGAACUAGUGCACUGUCUAUUAGGUGGCGUUUCCUGCCAGAGAGACUGGAAAUUCUGCCAACGCUUCCAUCAGACUCGGUAACUCCCUUAUCUACAGUUAGCUGACUUAAUUCUUUUGCCUGGUCAACAUCACUUGUCGGAGCUAAAAGCAUCUUUUCAGGACUUGAAGAACAGUUCAACCGAUCCAACUCAGCAUCUUUCGAAGAAAGGUCAACAGAUAUCUCAUUUGUGUUGCCAACUACAGGGACAGAUCCUGUCAAAUAUGUUCCUGACAUGUUAUGCACAUGGACUGAAGCACUAGAAACAUAAUAAUCUAUAUAUGAAAAUCAUAACAGCUUAGACUUCCCAAUUUAUGGAAAAUGCAAACAAAAGAGAGCCAAGUAAACAAACAAACCUUGAUUCUCGAUACAUUCAAUACUAUGCAGUGCCUUCUCUCUCACUGGCAUUUGUGAAGGGACACAAAGAUCUUCAAGAGAAGCUUCUGGAGCAUCUUGUACUGGUUCUAAAUUCUCUAAAGAAUGUGUGUUCGCUUGAUUUGAUUCUGAACUAGAAGCUCUCAAAUGAAGACUUGUUUGUGGGCAAGGGUCAACAACUACUUCAAGGUCUUGAUUACUUGAUGGCUGAGCUUCAACCCCAAGUGAACUAAUUUUGGUAGCUGAGGUCACUGCAGGUGCCAAUAGAUUUUCAGUUGAUGCUUCAGAAGUUGCGGUUACAACUCCAGUCUCAACUGGAGACUUGUCUUGAGGAACUUCAGAAUUAGAUGCUUCUAAAGAACAACUGGAAGAUACCAAGCCCUCCAUCUGAGAUAUAUCAGGAAAUGUGUUCUCUCCAUUAUCAAGGUUCUGAUCGUCACAUAACAGAUCUUUUGCUUCUUCUGCAACAAAUUUAAUCUGAAAAUCAUCUGUGCUCUCCUGUUCACAAUGCUCACCCGGUCCAGCUAUUUGUUGUGCUUCUUCCAACAAAACUGUAGGAGAGGAUACCACUUGUGGAACAUGUGCUAACUCAGGCUCCAUCGUUGACAUGUGUAUGAUGCCACCAUCAGUCUUCAAGUCUUCUUCACCAAAUGAAGGUGAAUGUUUUAUAUGGGGACUCAGAGCAGGACUUUCAGGUAUAGGGGUUGAAAUAGCCUCUCCCAUCAAUCCAGGAGUAAGUGGAGCAUGAACACAAUAUGUUGAUUCCAGAUUUGGAACAUCAACAAUAGAACUAUGACCAAUUUGGUCAACAUUAUGAUCGUUGGGGGAAAAUGCUUCAUUGAGAUUAGAAGUCUGGAUGUUGUAGCCUAGCCAAUCAGAAGAUAUGUCAUUCUUCCCCGUAAUUUGAAUAUUUGAAUAUUUAUAACAAUUAUAUAUCAUGAUAAUUAGAAAGUUUACAAAGGUCCAUUGGAAUUUCAACUUAGUACCUUUAACAGAACCUCCUUGGUCUUUAUCAAUACCCAUCUCUGUGACAAGCAUGGAAGAUGAAGAUUGACCCUGAAGCAUGCCGCUAAAACAAGCAUAUAGACAUUAAUGGAACAUAAUCAGACAUACUGAAUGACAGACUGAAAAACCAAGCUAUAUGGAUAAUAUCAGCUAUUGAUAUAACAUGAAAACUCAACAACAGCCAUUUUACAAGCACCACCAUCUGAAGUGAAGAAAACAUAAAAACUGUCUCAACUGAUAAAUACACCAAAUAUAAUUAAAAAUGAAAUUGGAAAGAGACUUUGGAAUAUGAGAAGUAAUCGCCAAUUCGUGCAAAACAUCAAUAAAAGGUUGGUUAGUGCAUGAUACUCCUGCCAAUACAGGAUUUGGGAGGCUUAAUGUACGCAACCUUGCUUCUAUUUCUUCAUAGAGAGUCUAUUUUCAACACUCGCACACCUCUAUUUUUGAGACUCAAACAUAGGUUUCUGCUAUAAAUUUAUUUUCAAGGGGCUUUUGUACAUAACCCUCUACUUUGUCCAAUAUAAAGAAUCCUUGCCUAUUAUUUAUGCUUAGCCCCUAAAAAAAAUCCAUAAGGUUGCCUUACCAUCAAAUUUGGAUAUUAAAGAAGGAAUAAAAUGAAAACUUCUAAAACUAAGUUCGCUAGAAUGGAAAUAUUAUCAAAAUGACAGGAUCAAAUCAAGAAUCAAAUCAAAAUGAAGCGAAUUUAGAACCAGAUGACAGGAUACUCAAAUCAUAUUGAAGCAUUUUGAAGACUUGUUUGUGGGCAAGGGUCAACCAAAUGGGAAUAUUAGAGGCUUUCAUGCAUUUUAUCAACCAAACAAACAAAUGAUAGAGGCUGAUCAUAACAGCACAUGGUUUUGAGAUGCAUCCAUACUGGCUUAAGGGCAGGGUACAACUAGCAAGGUGGUGAUUUCAAACUGUUUCAAUGGUGUAAAGGAGGUUUAGAUAAUGGAUAAUUGAGGUAAUGGCACAGAUGGAGGUCUAGAUGAUGGAAUUCUGAAGUAAUGAUAUCUUUAUGUAAUCAAGAGUGUGCAAAAUUAAGCCAUUGCCAGUAGCACUCUCGCCCUUGGGACACCAACAAGGUCCAUGUCUACAACCUAAACUUAGUGCCUAGAAUUGCAGGUCCAGCAUGAUAGUUUUUUUUUAUGUUGAUUGAAAGGUUAAUACUGUUUGUAGCCACCAAACACAGAGAGAGAAAGAAUGCAUUGAUAGUGUUUUUUUUCUUUUGUUAUAUUCAAAAAUUCCUACUUGAAAAUAUUGCUGCACAAAGAUCAGAAAAGUAAUCCAUCAAACAACAUAAGCUAGGUUUUUUUAUAGCCAGGACAAAAUUAACUUCAAAGGAAAAACCUGAUUAACAUUCAGCAAAGUGAACAUUAAGGGAUGAUGGUCACUGAUGGAUGAUAAAUAGAAAAGGCAGAGAUAGAGGAUGCAGAUAAACAUGUAAAACCCAUGGGUUAAAGGAAAGUUUACCACUCGUCUGAGCCUGCAACUGAAGUAUGCUCAUGCGAGGGAUGCUUAUCUAAGAACAAGUCCUGCAACUAAUGAAGAGGAAAAUAAAUUAGUUAAAAGCCAACACUUAAAAUGUGCAUGAUAGAUAUAGAGACAUCAGAGGUUAAUUGCAUUCUUCAGGGCUCCCUGGUGCAGCCUUUCAUUAACUAAAUUAUCCUCUAAAUAAUAAUUUGGAUCACAAUGAAUUUCCAUCACAGGAACUUUGAUUGCCCUGUCAGUUUGCAGCUCAAUAGAUCAUAAUUUAUUAGCUUUCUGCAAUUUGGUAACAUACACUAUACAACAACAAUAACAAAGCCGAAAGUCCCAACUAGUUAGGGUCAACUUAGUAACAUACACUAUAAGUAAAACAAAUUGUUAUUGUCUUAAAUUUAUCAAUAGUUUAAUUCCCUCAUACCCCUCCGUCUAUAAAAACUUUUUGGAGUAUCAGUGGACAUAGAUAACCAGGAAGGCUUUCAUUUCACUGUGUCCAAAUGUUUCAGUAGAAUAGUAUAUUGCAUGCAUAAGCACAUAAAGGAACGAUGUUUAUAGAGACUAAAGAUGAGAAGCAACUGCACAAAACAUCAUAGCACCCUGCAGAGUCCUGAUGUAAGAAAGCAACUGCAUAUUGCUAAGAAUUCAAUAUAAGCCAGGAGCUUGCAUCUGAAGAUGUUGCAACAUCAUGUUUUACCCAUUUUGCAAAAAAAUGUCUAGAAAAGCACAACUCUGAUAUUAACCGGGCAGUUUAUUUUCAUCAAUUUGUGAUUUCCAGCUUUAUCGAGGGUGUCAUACUCCAGAACUCCUAAUCUUGUCAUAUCUACUAUUACAGAUUAACCUAAUAUUAUUUAGUGGAUUUUAUGAAUUUGAUGGGUUCUUAAUUUUUUUAACUCGAGAAAAUCAAUUUUUUAAUACUACUUGUUUUAUUCACAUCUUUUUGAUUUCCUAUUUUUCAAACUUGUUUUGGUUUAACUGCCUUACCAGCCUUUGGUAGUAGCUUUGGGUCCAUAUGGGACCCACUUCCAAGGCCAAUGACACACAGGCAAAUUUGUUGAAUGAUAGAAACAACUAGCUAUUGGACACAUUUGAGAGUAGGUUUUCCUAGUAUAAAUUUCCCUACCUCCUUAUGGCAUACCCACUAUGACUUACCUAGCCAUGAUGGGAGUUGAAGAGGAGUCCCUCAUAGGACCAUUUGUUAAAGCCAUCUCUAGCUCCAAAAAAGGUAAGGUAAGAGACACGGCAAGCCAAAACAAGAUUGAGGAAUUAGGAUAAAAAUUUAUGCAAAAGUAAGGUAAAAAUUCAAUAACAAAAACAUCUUGCAUUUGUUAAUGAGAACAAAAUUCUUCUUGCACCCCUUACAGUACAGACUUAAGAUUCAUUGCAUUGCUGAUUGUUUCCAUUAGCAAAAACUGAAAAUAUAAUGAUAUGCACAAGUGCAAAGCAUAAAUACAAGUGGUGGAACUUACUUCAUCAAUGUCUAAGCCAAUCUGAGAAUCAAUUCCAUCACCAAAUCUUUCUGUAAUAACAAACUUAAUAAAUAAGGUUCAACCUACUUGCAACGAGAAGCAUGAAAUUAAACUGCAGAUGUGUUAAGUGCUCUGACUAGAUAACAGACCAUCAGAUCCAAAUUGCAUAGAUGAAAACUCCAUGCCACCAACAGUAUCUUGAAGUGUAAUCUGCUCUUUUGUACUGACAUGGUGGUCAACAAAGUCACUGCCAAAACAUAAGUCAAACUCGUAAAGGACCAGAAAUGUCAAUUACAGCAUGCUGACAACUCCAUCAUCAUAAUCAUAAAUAAAAAAUUAGAACUGUGCAUAUAUGCAAUACUAAAAGCAAUGUCAAGUACAGACCCACUAUCAGGCAGCUCAAAAUCAUCGAGAUGAAAAGUUUCAGGUAAGGUUAUUGAAUGAUAGGGAGCAGUUGAUUCUUCUGGGGGAAGAUCUACUGCUGCUGAUCUGAAGGCCUGUUUUAUCUUGAGCAAAGCCUCACUGCAAUCAUGGAAGAGAUAGUUCACCUUCCUAGAAUAUAUUCUCACCACACCUAGCAGAAGAUGGCUAGAUAACCGAAGUGCAAUUGGGACAUCAGGACAAAGAAUUGAAUCUGCAUGGCAAAUUAAAAGAAAAAGAUAUUAAGGAAACAAGAGAAAUAACUUAUUAAAGCUAAGUUUGGAAAAAGCAUCAUAUAAAUGCGGCAAGAAAUCAUUAAGGCUGCUUCAAUCAUGCAAUUACUACUAUCUUUAAAUUUACAGAUUCUAUGAAAUUUAUAAGCUAUCUUAUAAUACAUGGUUGCAAUUAUUUCAAGAAGCAACUAAUUUUUGUUGUGUCAUUGGAGAAAUAGGUUGCUAACUAAUAUUCCAAAAUAAAUAUACAAUGGAUAAUCAAAACCUAAUAAUUGCUAAACCUAAGAAUUUGUAAUGUCAUUGGAGUUUGUUGUGUCAAACUCCAACUUUGAAAAUCUGAUUAUUAAUUGCUAAACAUAAGAAUUUAACAAGUAACUGCAUUCAGUUUUUGUUUUAUGGCUACUCGGUGUUUUGCAAGCGAAAAUUUAGUUUAAAUUUAUUUAUGUUGCUCAAGUGUGAACAUAUGUAAGCAGCAGAAUUUUCAAUCUCUUCCUUGAACUUAAUCUGUAUGGCACACAUACACACCAUGGACGUGAUAUUUAUUUAAGCUCCAAAGAAGAAUUUAAUAUAGCUGCAGGUUCUUCCACAGUUCCACCAAUUAAGUACCAAACUUCACCCGAUGUGCAUCAACAUGUAUCUAGGUCAACUUGAUGCUAAUAAUAUAAAAACAAAAAAUGUAACUCUUUGACCCUCGUUAGUGUGGGCUAUUCUCAAUCUUGAUCUACAUUAGUAGAUUUAGGUCAGGGUCGAACGAUUUGUAAACCUUGUUUUCUUUUUCGUGCAUAGAAGAAGAAGCUAGACUUCUUGUGAUGUCAAAUAUACCUUUAAAAAACUUUUGUAUAUAUCCUUUGUUAAGAAUAUUUACCUAAAAUUUAACUUUUAGCAAAGGUACAAUUUUUCUAAUUACCCCUAUAUUUUCUGUUUUUUAUUUUUAAUGUUCAUUAGAGCCAACCAAUUCCUACCAAUCCUGAUCCUGGAUCCCUGAAUCAACCAUCCCAAUCCCAAUUAUGGGAAGCUUUGGUAUCAACAUAAAGUUCAGAAAGUCAAUGCCCAUCCAACACAUCAAAAUCAUAUGAAGUUAUGAACAUCUUAAACGAAAAAUAGUGAUGCUCAGAUUUGUACUAGGCAAUUUUAAUAUAUAUACCUGAUCAUAAAAUUGUUGAGAUAAAAACUAUAAAUUGUUAAAUGCCUAUUGAAGGGGAUAAGGAGUGCACAAUUCAAAGAUGUUUCCCCUCUUAAUUAUUGUGAUAUUUUUUAAUUAUCAAGUUGAAGAAAAUCAUUUUUGAAAUUACCAAUAUUGUUUUGUUAUACACGUCUUGGAAAAAUCAAUCAUAAUUUCAUGCAUAGUUUUCAAAUAUUCAAGAUCAGGCAACAGAUAGCCUAAUGUUCUAGCACUAGCUUAGGCUUGUAGGCCAUUGCAAAGGCAAUUAUUUCCUGAGCAAAUUAUUAUAGAUAUGUUUGCUGCAACUUCAUACACACACACACCCCCCUAAAACUAGCAUCCAUCACAUACUUAGCACUUAAUGAGCAUGAACAUUUGUGGAAAGUUGUAUGAUAUAAAAACAUGAUAAAAAGGGAACUCACUGAUACAAAAUAUCAGAAGGAUGGCAUGAACGUUCUUCGACUAGCACAACAUAACAACAGUUCACAGCUUGAAAUUAUCAUUCUUAUAUAAUACAUGCUUUGCCCUAUGUACACAAUUGUACAUGUGUACAUAAACCAGCCCAAGCUCAGGUGUCCUUACUUUUGUCUAUUACCUACAUGAUAGAUAGCCAAGCAACCACACAACUUUUGUAAUUCAUGUUCACGCAUAACAAAUAAACAUGGAAAAGUACCAUAUAAACAAAAUAGCUGCUGCCCAUUCCUUUUCUCCACCUAAAUUCUGAAUCAAUUUGAAUAAGCACAAACAAAAAUCUUAAUGGACAGUAUUUCUGUUAAAAUACCAAAAAUCAGAAUCUUUUACUGCAUUUAUAUGGACUUGCCUACAUUUCAUACAUGUUAAAUACCAGAAUAAGUUUAUCAAAGUUUUACUUUCUUUUCUAAUUUGUCUCAAUAUUUCUACAAUUUAGUCAUUAUCACAUGAACACAACCACCACACCAACCUGUCGGUUCAUUUUAAUUUAAAGCAGCUGCUAACAAAGGUUUAGUUUAGUCAAAUAUUAACUUGAUUCUUAUAUCAAAAAGAAAAUUAUCAAAUAUUAAUUUCAUUCUUAUAGAACAAAGAAAAUUUGUAGCCACAGUUGUUAGCUUUGCCUAGCAAAGAGAAAUGACAUAUAAGAUGUUUCGAUUCAUUCGAUAUGAAAAUCUCACAUUAAAAAUGAGCUACUUCAUAGUAAUCGAACACAUCUAAACUUUCAAUAGCCUCCUAGUAAGAUGAAGCAUACCAAUAGUCAUCCAAAAAAUGUGUUUAAGGCAUAUUUCUCAUGUAGCCCACUCUACAUAGUUGAUGUUCCCUAAGGAGAGCUGUAGUAGCUGAACCCAAAUGGUCGGCACAUUAUGGUUUGUUGCUGUUAUUCUUAUACAGACAUGCAUACAUGGGCAAGGAUAUAGACACAUCAACAGGUUCCCUAUUGUAGCCUUCAUAAAUUGAGAUGAAAACAUUAUGUUAACGUGUGCUAUGAGAUUAAACUGGCAGGAGAUUAAAUGCUAUUAAUAAGCAUAACUCACCACAAACCUAAUAUAUUCAAGGUUACUUAUAUACAAUCAGAUCAUUCGGUAAGAUUACUUAAUGUAAGAGGAAAAAAAAAUUUAACACUCAUCAACUAGGAUGAACAAGUUUAGCACAACCACAACGUAUGAGCAAUAAAGCCAUGAAUGGCAAGAUUGUAGAUGAAUCCCAACAAAAGAACAAAUUUGGUCAUAACAAACAAAAUAUAAUGAUAAUGCUCAUGUAAGAGGAUAAAAUCCAGAUCAUUAAAUACCGGGGUGCAUCGCUAAAAUAGGUACCAGAGAUGUAAAUUAUGAUCAGUGUGAACUGUCCAAAAUGGAUGGCAGAAUCUUCCUUAAGCAGAGACAUUAAUAUCCCAGUCAACAAUGUACUGUGUCCUAGUUUUCCUAGGUGACAGUAUUAAGACUGGCAGAUACAAGAGGCUACAUCCAAACCCUAUCAUAUCAAUGCUGAUAUCAGUCGGUACCUCCAUCAUACCAGUGUCCAAAUCAAAGAACAGAAAUAAAUUUCAAAAAUUCAAAACUUUUGUGUGCUUGAGAAAACAAUGUGAGUCACAGACAAACCAAACACCAACUUUUGGGUCUUAUUACUCUACUUCACCACUGAAAAACCAGAUGCCUCUGGGGAUUACUUCACUAAUUUAAGGUGGAAUAGCAAUGCAACAGGAUUAAACACAACUGAAACAAGUUAAACUCAAAAGAUUAACAAGCAGAAGUCUAAGAAAUUGAAGAAUUACAAGAUACCGACCUACAGAGACACCAAUAUCAGUAUCUGCCACCUGAUUCUUCCUCAGCUUCCGUUCCAAAUGCGCCGCAAUCCAUAUGGUCCCCAGCGGCCCCUUCUUGGCCAAAAUAAACUGAGAAUAGAACAUUUUACUCCUCCUCCGCUUCCAGAAAACCCUAGAAGCCCGUAGCAAGCUCCCUCCGAAGAUCAAUCGCCCCAAUUCAAAGCAUUCUCACAACCCUAAGGCCCGCAGCUCCCACCAAAACGAGCGCCAAGAUCCGAGCUUUUUCGAAACCCCAGCUGCCCCAGCACCUCGGAGUUGCCCAAGACUCCACCUUUCGCCGAUUCCGACAGCAGGAACCGAACUCGAGCUCCAGAAUCACCAAUCUUCACAUGCGGGCGCGUCGACCAUGGAGCCCAUCAGAACUUGACGUUUUGAAGCCCUAAAACCGAUGAAAACCAUUGGCGGGAUCUUAAAAACGGGAGGGCUCGAACGACGGAUCCGUACGGGUCCGGAUCGAAGGGAUAGAAUCAUAGAACUCGACGGAAUGACAGAGAAACGCAACACUAAAAGGCCAAAGGGAAAAGAGAACACUGCUUUCGGCUUUUGGAGUCCGGUGGAGUGCUCUCGGAUUACCAACGAGCAAUGAUAGCGAGAAAGUAUCGUGUCGGUCUCUCCACAUCUCGUGAUCUAACGGCUGAAAGUGACUUUGAUGCUCAUACGGCGCGUUGUACGCCAUUAGAUAUAAGCGUGGGAGAUAUCGCGAGGAUUAGACGACGGCCACUUGGACAUGACGCGGGUUUUUAGUUAUGACAGUCUCGAAGGGGCAAUUUAGUCAUUUGGCGACGCAUGGACUCGAACUUGAGACAAGAUUCUAUCCAAUGAGAAAUCUCCACGUUUACACGAGCUUUAUGAUGGGUUCGUUGGCACGUGCACUGCACACGAGUAUAACACAUAUUUAAAGCAAAUUAAAUAUAUAGACAUUUUAUAAUUAAUUUUACCAAUCAUAAAAAUCAAAGGAGAAACAUCUAUGGGGUAUCAAGGGCUUAUAUGCGUAUUUUAGAACUUUUGAGGGGUUUUUCUUUUUGCUUUUUUUUUCUCAAUUUAUUCUUUUGCUUAAUUUAAUUUUUAUGAUAACUUCAAUAAGUUUACAAGUGUUAUAUAUAUAUAUAUAUAUAUAUAUAUAUAUAUAUAUAUAUAUAUAUAUAUAUAUAUAUAUAUAUAUNNNNNNNNNNNNNNNNNNNNNNNNNNNNNNNNNNNNNNNNNNNNNNNNNNNNNNNNNNNNNNNNNNNNNNNNNNNNNNNNNNNNNNNNNNNNNNNNNNNNNNNNNNNNNNNNNNNNNNNNNNNNNNNNNNNNNNNNNNNNNNNNNNNNNNNNNNNNNNNNNNNNNNNNNNNNNNNNNNNNNNNNNNNNNNNNNNNNNNNNNNNNNNNNNNNNNNNNNNNNNNNNNNNNNNNNNNNNNNNNNNNNNNNNNNNNNNNNNNNNNNNNNNNNNNNNNNNNNNNNNNNNNNNNNNNNNNNNNNNNNNNNNNNNNNNNNNNNNNNNNNNNNNNNNNNNNNNNNNNNNNNNNNNNNNNNNNNNNNNNNNNNNNNNNNNNNNNNNNNNNNNNNNNNNNNNNNNNNNNNNNNNNNNNNNNNNNNNNNNNNNNNNNNNNNNNNNNNNNNNNNNNNNNNNNNNNNNNNNNNNNNNNNNNNNNNNNNNNNNNNNNNNNNNNNNNNNNNNNNNNNNNNNNNNNNNNNNNNNNNNNNNNNNNNNNNNNNNNNNNNNNNNNNNNNNNNNNNNNNNNNNNNNNNNNNNNNNNNNNNNNNNNNNNNNNNNNNNNNNNNNNNNNNNNNNNNNNNNNNNNNNNNNNNNNNNNNNNNNNNNNNNNNNNNNNAGAUAUUUGCACUCUGUCAAAGUAAGGAACCAUGGCAUAUAUGUUUGGAACGGAUUCCAUUUUGUUUAAAAAAUAUUCUAUUUUGAGAGAUUUGAAAAAGCAUUAUCUCGUUGAAAGGUUAUAUAUAUUUAUCGUUUCUCAACGUAUUUCUUUACAAAAAGGCUCAAUUUUUUUUGUCUCUUUUCCGACGAUAAAUAUUUUUCAAAACAUGAAGUAUGAAUCAAACUCAUUUUUGAAUCGAAACUGAGAUACCGAUGCAAGUUCUUCCCUUCUGAAUCAGAUAGAUUCAUAUCUGAAAGAGGCUGACAAUAAGUUCUUCCAAAAUUGACUCUUUGUUUCUCUGUUAGAGGUGUUGCAGAAAUGUCUGCGAUCGAGUAAAUAACUAUAUGAAUGAAUAGCUCGGAUCGAAUUGAAAAACAGAAAGAUUUGUACAAGUUAUAUGUUUUAUUACUACUUUGUGAAAAAUCUUUAGGUACGAAUAUGUUAGAUACCUAUGAGGUGAAAUAGUCUCUCUCUCCAAAAAAAAAUUAUUUUUUUUUAUGAACGCACGAAGAAAAUAUUUUGUUGCGAAUGAACAAGGUAGUGAGGAAUUGUCCAUAUGUAAGAUCAUAAUUAUUGAUAUGAGUCAUUUCCUUAUAUAUAUAUAUCAAUAUCUAUAAUUGUCUUUUUAUUUCACCUGGUAUUUAAUUUAUAUUUAUGUAAAUUUAGCCAGUCCGACUUUGUUGGUUCGAACCUAAAUGGAGUCAGAAUUCUAAUCCCGUCCGAUGAAUUGAUCGCCUUUUGUGGCACCAAUCUCGAUGUGUCUUUCCCAAAUUAAAAGGUUAUCUCUUGAUCUCAAGUCAACCUUUCAAAAACAAGAGUUUGACCUCAUUAAUCAUGCUCUGUUCACCUUUUAUAGUCGAUCCUCUCAUCGUUAGAUUCAUCAAGCUGUAUGUGUUUUGCUCUAAUGUUCUUCAAACUGUUGCAAAUAAUUCUACCAUCAGCUGUCAAACACAUACAUAGAAAAAUAAAUCUACUAGUGCUUCUUGUUAUUGUUCUCUGCGAAGCUCAUAUACCUUUCGGAUAAGCUUAUACUCUUUCCAAAUAGUGAUGCAUAUCUAUGAUCUUGGCUUGCUGUCUCACAAGUUCUUUGACUUGGUAGUCUCUCGAUACAAAGAUUUUCUUGAAUUGCUCAAAUGUUGAUCUUAAUAUCAACAACUAGAAAUCAACUCAGCAUAUGAUAGAAAACUGCUAAAACUAUGAGAAUUCAAUCAUAUCUUUAAUAAUAACGCGAUUGUGUGAGCAUUUCUCCCUUUUACAAGCAAGAUAUAUGUUCAAAGUCUGCAAAUUUUGCAGCUAAUUUCUCGAGAGAGACAACAGGACAUGAUUCAUAUCAGAGUAGGUAGAAGAAGGCUUUCUUCUUCUUCUUCUUAUUCUCUUGUUAUUUUCCUUCACGUUUGAUCAGGAAAACACAGCCUCUCUGAUUUGUUCACCUUCCUUAAAAGACUAUAAUGACAUGAUCUAAUCCUCAUAUCACUACAUAAAUUACUUGCAUCCGUCGAUCCUAAUUCGCACCAGUAAUGCAUGCGAGGAAGCGGCUGCUCCCAAACCUGGUCUCCUUCACCAAACGGCCAUGACUGCCAGCCUUGUCCGGCGAGAAAGGCGGCUCCGAGAAAUCCUCCGAUGAGUACUGCCUCCUGUGGCCAUUCUGGUCUUCAUGGAAGCUGCCAAGCUUGAUCGGUGUUGGCCGCAGGAACUUGUUGGUGUUGGGGAUGCCAAACCACUGCGAAGCACCAGUCGACAUCGAGCGGUAGUAUCUGGGAGCCUUUCUUCUCUUUAUUGCUCUGUAGAUGUAUGGGAUCAAUCCUUCCAUUCUUUCUUGUGUUUGAAGCUCUUUGGUCUGUGGAAAUGGAAGCUUUACUAAACCUCUCUUAUAAGAAAGAUGAGCAACGUUGUGGAGUUCCAUCUCUACGAAGGUUCUUGUGACUUUGGUUCGUGGAUGACUCGUGGAUCAUCAUGGAAGGAGAAUCUUAUCUUGGCUGGCAAUACAUUCAUGUGGACAAGAACAAAAAGUUCGAAUAAGAUAAAGAUCUUCCUGUCACCCACUGUUAGUAGAUAUUAAGAAUAAAGAUGACAG
rnacentral:lncRNA from 1 species